rnacentral:lncRNA from 1 species
UAGGCUCGUCGUCUCCGUGCGGAUGGAUGUAGUCUUCCAUGUAGCUUUGCUUUCGUGUUUUACGUAGUGUGGUCUGACACGUGCGUGGUUGCUCAGUGUGUUUGAGAAACCACUUUGUAGAUUUAGGCAUCGUGUUCCCCCUCCGGUGUGUACUAGGAUGUUAGCUUUGUUGUAGUCCUCUGCUGCUUCGUGGUUAAGCUUGGAUGCGAUUUAAGCUUCGUGAUUAGACUUGGACGCCCGUCGCGAGUGCUGGGUCCGGUACUGGAGCACGCGCUUUCCCCCAUUUCAUCUUCCUUCGCCGAGCGUUUCUUCCUUCACGGCUUCACCUUGGGAUGAUUCGGCGGGGCGACAAGGUGGCGCACUCUUUGCCUACUAGAGGCUGGUUAAGCACAUGGUUCAGCAACUGUGUUUGCAAAGUGAACAUUAGCUCAUGAGCAAACUAAAUAUCUCACCGUUUCUUUAUGUAAUCACCAGCAAGUAAAUUAGUCAAAGAAAAGAAAUGCCGCAUACGAACGUCAUGUAGGAAAUUAUCUUUCUUUUUUUGGAAGUGCCAGCCAAGACUGGAGUUUCAUUCAUUUAAGCAGGGAGCAAUGGUAAUAGUGACAAAUGUGGUGAUCCUGGGAUCAAGGAGAUAAGAAAAGGGAGGGGCUAAGAGAUGUCCCGCCUGAAAACGCAGUGGAGACCAUGUUAGCCACCUUCUCCAGAGAGCUGUUGUCGUUGAUUUGGCGAGCAUGAUUCAAACCCUGACAGUGCUGCCAUGAGGAUAGCUCAGCCCAGAUCGUCCUCCUGAAAGUGCAUUCCCAGAAUAAGUGCGCAGAGCUCUCAAGGUUUCUAAGGCAGAGUUGGCAGAAGUAGUCGUUGGUCCAGCCCUACGUUGAAACCAUGUUAGCCACCUUCUCCAGAGAGCUGUUGUCGUUGAUUUGGCGAGCAUGAUUCAAACCCUCUCAGUACUGCCAAGAGGAUAGCUCAGCCCAGAUCAUCCUCCUGAAAGUGCAUUCCCAGUGCGCAGAGCUCUCAAGGUUUCUAAGGCAGAGUUGCAGAGCUCUCAAGGUUUCUAAGGCAGAGUUGGCAGAAGUAGUUGUUGGUCCAGCCCUACGUUGAAGACGGUCGUUGCACCACAGUCUGUUUUAGUGGAGGAGCCAUGCAAAAAGCUUGAGCUUCGCCGGAGCCCAAGUAACCCAGACCAGGUCCUUGUACAUGCCCAUCGUCGAUCCGAGGAACUACAAGGUGUAAGCAGAGUGGGAGUUGUACUGGCCUGAUCCCUCAAAAUUCUAGCGAAUCUGGUCCUGGUCUUCAUCUUGCAGGGUGAGCUGCUGGUGUUGAAUAAGAGGAUGCAGGUUUAGAACCUCGCUGACCAGGUCACUGGUGUUGCCAUGUGCCAAGUCCGAGAUCCAUCAAUCGCCAGCUAUGGCUUGAGCCACCGUUCUGCCCUUGCGUCUUGAAUGCUUGAAGAGGGUUGGGAAGUAGAACUUCAGCGACACCGCCUCUAGCCAUGAGCUAUGCCAGAAGCUCGCCGUCUUGCCGUUGCCAAUAGUCACCGUCAUCGCGGCAUUGAAGAGGGCCUGGUCCGAGGCAUCGCACGGGGGCUCCGUUCCCACCCAGGGCCGAGAGGUGUUUUUCCAGCUGUGCCAGAGCCAUCGCAGACAGAGAGUGCGACUGAACUUUGACAGGUUCAGUACGCCGAGCCCACAAUGCUCGAUCGGGGAGCAGACCCGUUCCCAGUUGACCUUGAAGCUGCCGCCAGAGAGCUCUUGAUCCUUUCCCCACAGAAAGCGUCGUCUGCAUUUGUCAAUUUCCUUCAUGAGCUUCUUGGGUACUCGAAGCGCAGUAAGGGCAAAGGUGGGUAGGGCAGAGAGGACGCAGCGAACCAGGACGCGCCUGCCCGCAAUGGAGAGCAUUAGUCCCUUCCAGCCCGCGAGCUGGGCACGGACGCGAUCGAGGAUGAAUUGCAGGUGAACUAGGUGUAGCCGGCCCGUGGUGAGGGGUAGACCUACGUAUCUUAUCGGAAAGUGGAAAGCUUGAAGAACUAAACCCAGGUUGAUGUUGUUGCAUUGGAUCGACGUAGCCGUGGACUUGGCAAGGUUUAUCCGCAGGCCCGAGGUGUCACCGAAGCUUUGUAGGAUGCACAUCAGGUGGUCGAUUUCCUCCUUGUCGGGGUUUGCGAAGAUUAUUGCAUCGUGAGCGUAUAGGCUCACCCUAAGCUUGAUCUCUCUCCCUGGCACCAGCAUGAUCUCGAGCGCGUCCUCUGCGGCUUGAAGUAGUUGGUGGAUGGGGUCGAUCGCGAUGAUGAAGAGGAGAGGGGAUAGAGGGUCGCCCUGUCGCAGUCCUCGGCGGUGAACAAUUUGCGCGGCGGGUGAUCCGUUAAGCAGGAAGGCCGAGGAUGAGGUGGCGAGCAGCAGCGUGAUUUAAUCCCUCCAGCGAGCACUAAACCCUAGCGUCAUCAACAGCUCGAGGAUAUAUUCCCAGGAUACAUUAUAGAAUGCCCUUGAGAUAUCAAGCUUGAGGAGAACCGUCGGUGUCUUCCUAUGGUGCAGACACUUACGCAAUUUUCGACGUAGACAAAGCUGUCGUGCAGACAUCUAGUCUUCAGGAAGGCCGUCUGGGAUGGCGAGAUGAUGGACUGCACUACUGCUGCAAGACGGAUUGAGAGCACCUUGGAAAUCAGCUUCUCUAUUGAGUGGAUCAGGCUGAUCGGUCUAAAAUCACUAAUGCAGUCAGCUCCGUCUUUCUUGGGGAUGAGCACGACGAUCGCAGAGUUCAGGGCCCCAAAAUUCUGUCCGGCCAGGUGGUAGAAUUGGUGGAAAGCUUGCAUGAUAUCUUCCUUUAUAAUGCUCCAACAUGAUCAGAAGAACAUUCCACAGUAACCGUCCGGCCCUGGGGAUUUCUCAGCUGGCUAGGCCUUGAUCGCAGCCCAGACCUCCUGUUCUGUAAAUGGGUUGUCUAGUCCUCCUCCCUGCACCGUUGGCAUUUGGAGCUGAGCCCAGUUGAUUGACGUGGGUCGAUGUUGAGGAGUGCCCAAAAUGCUACUGAAGUGGUCGUGGAUUGCUUUUUCCUUUUCUACAUGCGCCAUCACAACAUUUUCUCCGACCUUCAGAGCAUGGAUGAAGUUCUUGCGCCUUCUUGAGCUGAUCUUGGCCAUGAAGAACUUGGUGGGGCAUUGCCUGCACGCAGCCAUGUGAGGCGUGAGGCUUGCCUUUUCCUACAGCGCUCAAUCGCUGCAAGGCCGAGAAGCUUGGUCUUCAGUCCUUUCCUGAGCUCAGACUCGGCAUCCGUGAGCCGCCGUCGCUCCUGGGCCACAUCGAGGGGCGAGAUUACUUCACAUGCAAUGUGGAAUUGGAGCUUUGUGUCCUCGAUCAGAUUUCUGCUCCAAAUGCGGAGAUCCUUGGCAGUUCUGCUCAUCUUGAUGCGGAGGCGGGAGAAAGUGCAGGUCGAGGCACGUCGGGCGUGACCAGGCUCCAGAGACUGUGUCGAGGAAGCGCGGGAAACACGACCGGAAGGAUUAAAAUUUGAACCCUCCUCGUCAUCGAGGCCUAGUCGCAUCCGCAAGCAUGAGUGGGCAGUGAUCUGAGCACACAGUGGACGCCGCUAUGAGGAGGACAUGCGGGAACAGGGUCUCCCAAUGCGUGUUGCAGAAGAACUUAUUAAUGCUAACUAGGGUUGGAUUUUCUCUCUCGCUACUCCAAGUGAAUCUGCGAUUGUUGCACUUGAUCUGGCGUAGCCCAGCUCCAUCGAUCGCAGCUCUAAAAUGGCCCAUAAAUCUCCUGUUUAGGUUGUGGUUGUUUUUGUCCCUGGCCUCGUAGAUUAUUUUGAAGUCGCCGUUGAUGAGCCAGGGCUCGGUGGCUGGAGGAGUAGACUAGGCUAGCUCGGCAAGGAAGUCGUCUUUGUUCAUGUCCUCGGCCGGUCUGUAGACCGUGGUGAGCCAGAAGCGCGUGAGGUUGCAGGCUAGGGUAAUCCUCAUCGUGAUUGCGAACUGACCUAUGGCAUGGGUGUCUACUAAAACUAUGUCCUUGUUCCAAAGGAUGGCGACGCCUCCACGCGUAUCGAUGGCCGGCAGCACGACACAACCGAGCAGGGUGCCACCGUCGAUGUCGCGUGCUAGUUCAGGAGUCCAAACAUCUAAUUUUGUCUCUUGGGAGCAAAGGAUGGCGGCUAGGUGAGCCGCGACCACCUCACGCUCUGCCUCCCUCAUGGUCGGAGAGUUUAAGUCGUGCACGUUCUAGCACAUGAUCGGGGGGGGGGGUGGAGUUGUCGUCAUUCAUGGGGACACGAGGGAGAUCUCCAGCGACUACACUUACUAAGAUAAAAACUGCACUGGUACACCCACCGUCUCUCCGGGGGACGCCCCCGAUCACCAAUAGACCCCAAACUACGGCGGUGCAACUCGAACCACAAGCAACAACUAGAACAACAGAGGGAAACGAAGCCUAACUCUAGCCAGCCGAGUGUUGGACGCCGCCGGAAACUACUACUACUACAAAGAAGAUCUGGCCGCGCUAACAUGAUCACACUACGGCCUCCUCGGUGACGCCAUCGGGACCAUUGAGCCCCGCCUCAAUGCGAAGAGCGCUCUUCUCCAUGUUGGUGAGCUUCAUGAUGAUGGCGAUGUCAUCAUCCGAGAGGGGCUCGCCGAACCUGCGGAUCAACGCUUUUGCCGCCUUCUUGAUCAUCUGCUCUUUGGGGCCCAGGAGACCGAGACCUUGCACCAGCCUGAGCAUGCCGCGCUGCGCCACAGGCACCUUACAGUUUUGGGCAGCCUAGCAUGCGCUCUGUCGUGGAGGAGGGACAGAGGUCGCCCGCAUCUUUGGUGGGGUAGAGUUGCGCUUGGUCGGUGCUGGUCUGAGCAGGGAGGUCGGCUUGUCGUUGAAGAGGCGUCGUGGAACCUCCCUUGGCUCGUCGAUCUCCAGGAGCUGAAGCUGCUGGGUCACUACACCAAGCUGGAUGGAGACCGUGGCAGCGCUCGACAGAAUCAGGUAGCUGAAAUGCUCCGGGGCAUGGCGUGGCCUAGAUAGCGUGGGGCCGAAGACGUCCGGUUCCCUCACCGCGAUUUUGCCCUUCUCUGGAUUGGCGUUGUCUUGGAACUCCAGAGGCGCCGCGACGGAGGUGGCGAUCUCCUCGUCCAGGAGCACACAGCCGCAUCAUGCAGGGAAGGGGCGGCGAGCGCCUUCUCGGCCAUGGCGAAGAACUCUGCGACCUCAUCUUGCGUGGAACUAGAGCCGAUCGAAGCCGCAACCGGGGUGCGUGAGGACGCGGCAGGGGUUGGGACAUGGACUUGGCUGGCGAGCUUUGCUUUUGCUUGCUGCUUCUUGCUUGGGUAGGCCUGUAUGGAUGAGCGGCCACCGUGCUGCCCGUGGCCUUUGGAGCUCCUUGAGUGGCAAGCUAGAGGGGAGCGGCUGCGCUGGCGCUCCUUGCUCGUGGCCUCACCACCAUCGACCUGGGCACUUUGGCCAUGGCCCCGGCCUAGUAGCGUGUCCUUCUAGGACAGGCGGCCGCCAUCACCCCCGCCCUGACCGUCGUUGUCGUGGCGGGGUCCGUCCCCAGGGAGCCCACGACAGCCCGUGUCCACCACAGGAGCGCGCUGCUGCCGGCGGUGCUACUCCAUGGGUUGGCCGUCUUCGACUUGCAUGAUCCAGGUGCCGGGGUAGGUGCACAGCAGGUCAUUGUCGUGGUCGGGGCCAGAGGAGGGCAGGCCACUCUGGGUGGAGUGUGAUGAUCUCGGGGAGCGGGGGGAGGGGGGAGGGGCAGUCUUCGACCCUGUCGACGUGGAUGAGCAGGUUGUAUUGCUCCGCGCCGGGCGAGAGGACCACUCUACGGUCAGGCACGCGAGAAGCCCUCCAUCUCCUCCACUCUGCCGGCGCCUUGCUGCAGCUUCUAGUAGGUGUGCCUCGUUAGGAUGAACGCCAUGUCCCAGACCCACACCCAGCAGGCGAAAGUAUUGGUGUGAUCAUGUUCCAUGGUCCGGCUGUCCAGCCGGUCGAUGCGCACCUUGUCGCUGAAGACUUCUUGGAUGCUCUCCAGAGUCCACUAUUGCUGGGGCAAGUGCUCGAUGAUGCAGUGCAUGUGGAGGUUGAAGGUGCCGUGGCCGGCAUGGUUGUUCCCCCUCAUGGCGCGAUGGCAAAGUUGGGGCCGUCGACGCGCAGAGAGUCACGGCGAACCGCGUUGUCGUGGUGGGCCGGCUGCAUGAAGAUGACAAAGAAAUCCUCCGGUUGUGCGCCGUCACCCGCAGAUGGUGCGGCGAGACGCAAAGCUGCGUCUCCAGGGCUCGGCCGACAACCAUUGGCGAGGUAGCGCAUAAGCCUGAAGGAAAUAUUCCCUAGAGGCAAUAAUAAAGUUGUUAUUUAUAUUUCCUUAUAUCAUGAUAAAUGUUUAUUAUUCAUGCUAGAAUUGUAUUAACCGGAAACUUAGUACAUGUGUGAAUACAUAGACAAACAAAGUGUCACAAGUAUGCCUCUACUUGACUAGCUCGUUGAAUCAAAGAUGGUUAAGUUUCCUAGCCGUAGACAUGAGUUGUCAUUUGAUUAACAGGAUCACAUCAUUAGAUAAUGAUGUGAUUGACUUGACCCAUUCCGUUAGCUUAGCAGUUGAUCGUUUAGUUUGUUGCUAUUGGUUUCUUCAUGACUUAUACAUGUUCCUAUGACUAUGAGAUUAUGCAACUCCCGAAUACUGAAGGAACACUUUGUGUGCUACCAAACAUCACAACAUAACUGGGUGAUUAUAAAGGUGCUCUACAGGUGUCUCCGAUGGUACUUGUUGAGUUGGCAUAGAUCAAGAUUAGGAUUUGUCACUCUGAUUGUCGGAGAGGUAUCUCUGGGCCCUCUUAGUAAUGCACAUCACUAUAAGCCUUGCAAGAAAUGUAACUAAUGAGUUAGUUGUGGGAUGAUGCAUUACGGAAUGAGUAAAGAUACUUGCCGGUAACAAGACUGAAAUAGGUAUUGAGAUACGGACGAUCGAAUCUCGGGCAAGUAACAUGCCGAUGACAAAGGGAACAACGUAUGUUGUUAUGCGGUUUGACCGAUAAAGAUCUUUGUAGAAUAUGUAGGAGCCAAUAUGAGCAUCCAGGUUCCGCUAUUGGUUAUUGACCGGAGAUGUGUCUCGGUCAUGUCUACAUAGUUCUCGAACCCGUAGGGUCCGCACGCUUAACGUUCGGUGACGAUCGCUAUUAUGAGUUUAUGUGUUUUGAUGUACUGAAGGUUGUUCGGAGUCCCGGAUGAGAUCACGGACAUGACGAGGAGUCUCGAAAUUGUCGAGACAUAGAAGAUUGAUAUAUUGGAAGGUUAUAUUCGGACACCGGAAGGGUUCCGGGGGUCACCGGAUAAAUACCGGAGUAUCGAGAGGUUACCGGAACCCCCCGGGGAGUAUAUGGGCCUUAAUGGGCUUUAGGGAGAGAGAGAGGGCUGUCUAGGGCUGGGCCGUGUGCCCCGCCCCCUAGCCUAGUCCGAAUUGGACUAGGGGGAGGGGCGGCGCCCCCUCCUUCCUUCUCCUCCUCUCCUUCCCUUCCCCCUUCUCCUACUCCUACUAGGAAAGGGGAGUCCUACUCCCGGUGGGAGAAGGACUCCCCCCCUUGGCGCGCCCUCCUCCUAGGCCGGCCGCCUCCCCCUUGCUCCUUUAUAUACGGCGGCAGGGGGGCACCAGAAGACACACAAGUUGAUCAUUGAUCUUUAGCCAUGUGCGGUGCCCCCCCUCCACCAUAAUCCACCUCAGUCAUAUCGUUGCGGUGCUUAGGCGAAGCCCUGCGUCGGUAGCUUCAUCAACACCGUCAUCACGCCCUCGUGCUGACGGAACUCUCCCUCGAAGCUCUACUAGAUCGUGAGUUCGUGGGAUGUCACCGAGCUGAACGUGUGCAGAUCACGAAGGUGCCGUACGUUCGGUACUAGGAUCGGUCGAUCAUGAAGACGUACGACUACAUCAACCGCAUUGUCAUAACGCUUCCGCUUACGGUCUACGAGGGUACGUGGAAGACACUCUCCCCUCUCGUUGCUAUGCAUCACCAUGAUCUUGCGUGUGCAUAGGAUUUUUUUGAAAUUACUACGUUCUCCAACAGUGGUAUCAGAGCCAGGAUUAUGCGUAGAUGUUAUAUGCACGAGUAGAACACAAGUGAGUUGUGGGCAAUACUAGUCAUACUGCUUACCAGCAUGUCAUACUUUGAUUCGGCGGUUUGUUGGAUGAAGCAGCCUGGACCGACAUUACGCGUACGCUUACGCGAGACUGGUUCUACCGACGUGCUUCGCACACAGGUGGCUGGCGGGUGUCAGUUUCUCCAACUUUAGUUGAAUCGAGUGUGGCUACGCCCGGUCCUUGUGAAUUUUAAAACAACACAUACUUGACGAAAUGUCGUUGUGGUUUUGAUGCAUAGGUAAGAACGGUUCUUGCUUAGCCCGUAGCAGCCACGUAAAACUUGCAACAACAAAGUAGAGGACGUCUAACUUGUUUUUGCAGGGCAUGUUGUGAUGUGAUAUGGUCAAUACAUGAUGCUAUAUUUUAUUGUAUGAGAUGAUCAUGUGUUGUAAAAGAGUUAUCGGCAACUGGUAUGAGCCAUAUGGUUGUCACUUUAUUGUAUGAAAUGCAAUCGCCAUGUAAUUGCUUUACUUUAUCACUAAGCGGUAGCGAUAGUUGUAGAAGCAAUAGUUGGCGAGACGACAACGAUGCUACGAGAUCAAGGUGUCGCGCCAGUGAUUAUGGUGAUUAUGACGGUGCUUUGGAGAUGGAGAUCAAAGGCACAAGAUGAUGAUGGCCAUAUCAUAUCACUUAUAUUGAUUGCAUGUGAUGUUUAUCUUUUAUGCAUAUUAUUUUGCUUAGAUUGACGGUAGCAUUAUAAGAUGAUCUCUCACUAAAUUUCAAGGUAUAAGUGUUCUCCCUGAGUAUGCACCAUUGCGAAAGUUCGUCAUUCUGAGACACUGUGUGAUUAUCGGGUGUGAUAAGCUCUACAUUCACAUACAACGGGUGCAAGCCAGUUUUGCAUAUGAAGAAUACUCGGUUUAAACUUGAUGAGCCUAGAAUAUGCAGAUAUGGCCUCGAAACACUGAGACCGAAAGGUCGAGCGUGAAUCAUAUAGUAGAUAUGAUCAACAUAGUGAUGUUCACCAUUGAAAACUACUCCAUCUCACGUGAUGAUCGGACAUGGUUUAGUUGAUAUGGAUCACGUGGUCACUUAGAUGAUUAGAGGGAUGUUUAUCUAAGUGGGAGUUCUUAAAGUAAUUUGAUUAAUUGAACUUUAAUUUAUCAUGAAUUUAAUACCUGAUAGUAUUUUGCAUGUCUAUGUUGUUGUAGAUAGAUGGCCCGUGUUGUUGUGCCGUUGAAUUUUAAUGCAUUCCUUGAGAAAGCUAAGUUGAAAGAUGAUGGUAGCAAUUACACGGACUGGGUCCAUAACUUGAGGAUUAUCCUCAUUGCUGCACAGAAGAAUUACGUCCUGGAAGCACCGCUAGGUGCAAGACCCACUGCAGGAGCAACACCGGACGUUAUGAAUGUCUAGCUGAGCAAAGCUGAUGACUACUCGAUAGUUCAGUGUGCCAUGCUUUACGUCUUAGAACCGGGACUUCAAUGACGUUUUGAACAUCAUGGAGCAUAUGAGAUGUUCCAGGAGUUGAAGUUAGUAUUUCAAGUAAAUGCCCGGAUUGAGAGAUAUGAGGUCUCCAAUAAUUUCUACAACUGCAAGAUGGAGGAGAAUAGUUCUGUCAGUGAACAUAUACUCAAAAUGUCUGGGUAUAAUAAUCACUUGAUUCAACUGGGAGUUAAUCUUCCGGAUGAUAGUGUCAUUGACAGAAUUCUUCAAUCACUGCCACCAAGCUACAAGAGCUUCAUGAUGAACUAUAAUAUGCAAGGGAUGGAUAAGACAAUUCCUGAGCUCUUCGCGAUGCUAAUGGCUGCAAAGGUAGAAAUCAAGAAGGAGCAUCAAGUGUUGAUGGUCAACAAGACCACCAGUUUCAAGAAAUAGGGUAAAGGGAAGAAGGGGAACUUCAAGAAGAAUGACAACCAAGUUGCUUCUCAAGUGAAGAAGCCCAAGUCUGGACCUAAGCCUGAGACUGAGUGCUUCUACUGCAAAGGGACUGGUCACUGGAAGCAGAACUGCCCCAAGCAUUUGGCGGAUAAAAAGGAUGGCAAGGUGAACAAAGGUAUAUGUGAUAUACAUGUUAUUGAUGUGUACCUUACUAAUGGUCGCAGUAGUGUCUGGGUAUUUGAUACUAGUUCUGUUGCUAAUAUUUGCAACUCAAAACAGGGACUACGGAUUAAGCGAAGAUUAGCUAAGGACGAGGUGACGAUGUGUGUGGAAAAUGGUUCCAAAGUCGAUGUGAUCGCGGUCGGCAUGCUACCUCUACAUCUACCUUCAGGAUUAGUUUUAGACCUGAAUAAUUGUUAUUUGGUGCCAGCAUUGAGCAUGAACAUUAUAUCUAGAUCUUGUUUGAUGCGAGACGGUUAUUCAUUUAAAUCUGAGAAUAAUGGUUGUUCUAUUUAUACGAGUAAUAUCUUUUAUGGUCAUGCACCCUUGAAGAGUGGUCUAUUUUUAUCAAAUCUCGAUAGUAGUGAUACACAUAUUCAUAAUAUUGAAGCCAAAAGAUGCAGAGUUGAUAAUGAUAGUGCAACUUAUUUGUGGCACUGCCGUUUGGGUCAUAUUGGUGUAAAGCACAUGAAGAAACUCCAUUCUGAUGGACUUUUGGAAUCACUAGAUUAUAAAUCACUUGGUACUUGCGAACCAUGCCUCAUGGGCAAGAUGACUAAAACUCUAUUCUCCGGAACAAUGGAGCGAGCAACAGAUUUGUUGGAAAUCAUACAUACUGAUGUAUGUGGUCCGAUGAAUAUUGAGGCUCGCGGCGGGUAUCGUUAUUUUCUCACCUUCACAGAUGAUUUGAGUAGAUAUGGGUAUAUCUACUUAAUGAAACAUAAGUCUGAAACAUUUGAAAAGUUCAAAGAAUUUCAGAGUGAAGUGGAAAAUCAUUAUAACAAGAAAAUAAAGUUUCUACGAUCUGAUCGUGGAGGAGAAUAUUUGAGUUACGAGUUUGGUCUUCAUUUGAAACAAUGCAGAAUAGUUUCGCAACUCAUGCCACCCGGAACACCACAGCGUAAUGGUGUGUCUAAACAUUGUAAUCGUACUUUAUUAGAUAUGGUGCAAUUUAUGAUGUCUCUUACUGAUUUACCGCUAUCGUUUUGGGGUUAUGCUUUAGAGACGGCUGCAUUCACGUUAAAUUGGGCACCAUCUAAAUCCGUUGAGACAACGCCUUAUGAACUGUGGUUUGGCAAAAAAAUCAAAGUUGUCGUUUCUUAAAGUUUGGGGCAGUGAUGCUUAUGUGAAAAAGCUUCAACCUGAUAAGCUCGAACCCAAAUCGGAGAAAUGUGUCUUCAUAGGAUACCCAAAGGAGACUAUUGGGUACCCCUUCUAUCAUAGAUCCGAAGGCAAGAUAUUCGUUGCUAACAAUGGAUCCUUUCUAGAGAAGGAGUUUCUCUCGAAAGAAGUGAGUGGGAGGAAAGUAGAACUUGAUGAGGUAACUGUACCUGCUCCCUUAUUGGAAAGUAGUUCAUCACAGAAAUCAGUUCCUGUGAUCCCUACACCAAUUAGUGAGGAAGCUGAUGAUAAUGAUCAUGACACUUCAGAUCAAGUUACUACCGAACCUCUUAGGUCAACCAGAAUAAGAUCCGCACCAGAGUGGUACGGUAAUCCUGUUCUGGAGGUCAUGUUACUUGACCAUGGCGAACCUACGAACUAUGAGGAAGCGAUGAUGAGCCUAGAUUCCGCGAAAUGGCUUGAGGCCAUGAAAUCUGAGAUGGGAUCCAUGUAUGAGAACAAAGUGUGGACUUUGGUUGACUUGCCCGAUGAUCGGCAAGCCAUCGAGAAUAAAUGGAUCUUUAAGAAGAAGACUGACGCUAACGGUAAUAUUACUGUCUACAAAGCUCGACUUGUUGUGAAAGGUUUUUGACAAGUUCAAGGAGUUGACUAUGAUGAGACCUUCUCACCUGUAACGAUGCUUAAGUCCGUCCGAAUCAUGUUAGCAAUUGCCGCAUUUUAUGAUUAUGAAAUUUGGCAAAUGGGUGUAAAGACUGCAUUCCUGAAUGGAUUUCUGGAAGAAGAGUUGUAUAUGAUGCAACCUGUAGGUUUUAUCGAUCCAAAGGAUGCUAAAGAAGUGUGUAAGCUCCAGCGAUCCAUCUAUGGACUGGUGCAAGCAUCUCGAAGUUGGAAUAAACGUUUUGAUAGUGUGAUCAAAGCAUAUGGUUUUAUACAGACUUUUGGAGAAGACUGUAUUUACAAGAAAGUGAGUGGGACAUCUGUAGCAUUUCUAAUAUUAUAUGUGGAUGACAUAUUGUUGAUAGGAAAUGAUGUAGAAUUUUUGGAUAGCAUAAAAGGAUACUUGAAUAAGAAUUUUCAAUGAAGGACCACGGUGAAGCUGCUUAUAUAUUGGGCAUCAAGAUCUAUAGAGAUAGAUCAAGACACUUAAUUGGACUUUCACAAAGCACAUACCUUGAUAAAGUUUUGAAGAAGUUCAAAAUGGAUCAAGCAAAUAAAGGGUUCUUGCCUGUGUUACAAGGUGUGAAGUUGAGUCAGACUCAAUGCCCGACCACUGCAGAAGAUAGAGAGAAAAUGAAAGGUGUUCCCUAUGCUUCAUCCAUAGGCUCUAUCAUGUAUGCGAUGCUAUGUACCAGACCUGAUGUGUGCCUUGCUAUUAGUUUAGCAGGGAGGUACCAAAGUAAUCCAGGAGUGGAUGACUGGACAACGGUCAAGAACAUCCCGAAAUACCUGAAAAGGACUAAGGAUAUGUUUCUCGUUUAUGGAGGUGACAAAGAGCUCGUCGUAAAUGGUUACGUCGAUGCAAGCUUUGACACUGAUCCAGAUGACUCUAAGUCACAAACCGGAUACGUGUUUAUAUUGAACGGUGGAGCUGUCAGUUGGUGCAGUUCUAAACAAAGCAUCGUGGCGGGAUCUACGUGUGAAGCAGAGUACAUAGCUGCUUCGGAAGCAGCAAAUGAAGGAGUCUGGAUGAAGGAGUUCAUAUCCGAUCUAGGUGUUAUACCUAGUGCAUCGGGUCCAAUGAAAAUCUUUUGUGACAGUACUGGUGCAAUUGCCUUGGCAAAGGGAUCCAGAUUUCACAAGAGAACCAAGCACAUCAGAGAUGCUUCAAUUCCAUCCGCGAUCAAGUCAAGGAGGAAGACAUAGAGAUUUGCAAGAUACAUACGGAUCUAAAUGUUGCAGACCCGUUGACUAAGCCUCUCUCACAAGCAAAACAUGAUCAACACCAAGACUCUAUGGGUGUUAGAAUCAUUACUAUGUAAUCUAGAUUAUUGACUCUAGUGCAAGUGGGAGACUGAAGGAAAUAUACCCUAGAGGCAAUAAUAAAGUUGUUAUUUAUAUUUCCUUAUGUCAUGAUAACUGUUUAUUAUUCAUGCUAGAAUUGUAUUGACCGGAAACUUAGUACAUGUGUGAAUACAUAGACAAACAAAGUGUCACUAGUAUGCCUCUACUUGACUAGCUUAUUGAAUCAAAGAUGGUUAAGUUUCCUAGCCAUAGACAUGAGUUGUCAUUUGAUUAACGGGAUCACAUCAUUAGAUAAUGAUGUGAUUGACUUGACCCAUUCCGUUAGCUUAGCACUUGAUCGUUUAGUUUGUUGCUAUUGCUUUCUUCCUAACUUAUACAUGUUCCUAUGACUAUGAGAUUAUGCAACUCCCGAAUAUCGGAGGAACACUUUGUGUGCUACCAAACAUCACAACGUAACUGGGUGAUUAUAAAGGUGCUCUACAGGUGUCUCCGAUGGUACUUGUUGAGUUGACAUAGAUCAAGAUUAGGAUUUGUCACUCCGAUUGUCGGAGAGGUAUCUCUGGGCCCUCUCGGUAAUGCACAUCACUAUAAGCCUUGCAAGAAAUGUGAAUAAUGAGUUAGUUGCGGGAUGAUGCAUUACAGAACGAGUAAAAAGACUUGCCGGUAACAAGAUUGGACUAGGUAUUGAGAUACCGACGACCGAAUCUCGGGAAAGUAACAUACUGAUGACAAAGGGAACAACGUAUGUUGUUAUGCGGUUUGACCGAUAAAGAUCUUCAUAGAAUAUGUAGGAGCCAAUAUGCGCAUCUAGGUUCCGCUAUUGGUUAUUGACCGGAGACGUGUCUCGGUCAUGUCUACAUAGUUCUCGAACCCGUAGGGUCCGCACGCUUAACGUUCGGUGACGAUCGGUAUUAUGCGUUUAUGUGUUUUGAUAUACCGAAGGUUGUUCGGAGUCCCGGAUGAGAUCACGGACAUGACGAGGAGUCUCGAAAUGGUUGAGACAUAAGGAAUUGAUAUAUUGAAAGGUUAUAUUCGGACACCAGAAGGGUUCCGGGGGUCGCCGGAUAAAUACCAGAGUACUAGGAGAUUACCGGAACCCCCCGGGGAGUAUAUGGGCCUUAAUGGGGUUUAGGGAGAGAGAGAGGGGCUGGCUAGGGCUGGACCGUGCCCCCCCAAGCCUAGUCCGAAUUGGACUAGGUGGGAGGGGCGGGGCCCCGUCCUUCCUUCUCCUCUUCUCCUUCCCUUCCCCCUUCUCCUACUCCUACUAGGAAAGAGGAGUCCUACUGGUGGGAGUAGGACUCCCCCCUUGGAGCGCCCUCCUCAUAGGCCGGCCACCUCCCCCCUUGCUCCUUUAUAUGCGGGGGCAGGGGGCACUCCAAGACACACAAGUUGAUCAUUGAUCUUUAGCCGUGUGCGGUGCCCCCCUCCACCAUAAUCCACCUCGGUCAUAUCGUUGUGGUGCUUAGGCGAAGCCCUGCGUCGGUAGCUUCAUCAACACCGUCAUCAUGCCGUCGUGCUGACGGAACUCUCUCUCGAAUCUCUACUGGAUCGUGAGUUCGUGGGUCGUCACCGAGCUGAACGUGUGCAGAUGGCGGAGGUGCCGUACGUUCGGUACUAGGAUCGGUCGAUCGUGAAGACGUACGACUACAUCAACCGCGUUGUCAUAAUGCUUCCACUUACGGUCUACGAGGGUACGUGGAUAACACUCUCCCCUCUCGAUUCUAUGCAUCACCGUGAUCUUUUGUGUGCGUAGGAUUUUUUUGAAAUUACUAUGUUCCCCAACAAAGCCAUCGGCGGCGCGCAGCGUGAUGGCAUGGCGGCGGAGGAAGAAGAUACUCUGCUCGAUGGCUGGGGUGGACUCUCCUACUUUGUGGCUAGAGCGGGGGCGAUGCGCAGGGCCGACAAAGCUGAGCUCAGCCAUGGUCGCCGCGGGGGGUGGGCACUUAGCGGCCGGGGGAGGGGGCGGGGUGGGGAAGCGAAGGUGGCCGUGAACUAUAGCGCGAGCAGGGAGGGGCCCUACCCUACUGGAAGCGGAGCCGCCGCGACCAUUGCAAGGAUUUUGGGGGCACUCGCGAGCAAAAUGGCCCAGAAGCUCGCAGAUGACAUAGCAGAGGGGGUCUCAACAAUCUUUCCGGCGGUGGUGCUUGCUGAGGCAGCGGAAGUAGCACCCUCCAAACCUGCUUAAGAAGGCCUCGUGGCCACCAACCGCAUUGAAAGCCGGCCUCCGGCCCGAGUGGUGAGCUGCGUGCGGCAAGCAAGGAGCCGCCGAAUCUUGGGAGGACUUGCAUAUUUCCGCGACGGGGCCUCGGACCAGCCACCGUUCAUCGUAGAAUCGAAUGCAAAUGCAUUAUAUGAAGCGUAACCCAUACAACGUAACCCAUACAUAGAAACUUAUACAUAUAGUAUAUCUCUCUCCCUUCGUUCCUAAAUACUUGUCUUUCUAGAGAUUUCAACAAGUGACUACAUCGCUACAUACGGAGCAAAAUGAGUGAAUCUACACUCUAAAAUAUGUCUAUAUACAUCUAUAUGUGGUAGUUCAUUUGAAAUCUCUAAAAAACAAAUAUUUAAGAACAAAGGGAGUAGAAUCAAAUGCAUUAUAUGAAGAAGUGCACAUUACGCGUUCAUGGUCUUCUACAUCCAGAACAACAAUGAUUACAGUGCUACACGUUGCUGAUGCUCAGUGUUGGUGGUUCAGUUCUGGCAUAUGCAUAGAAAAAUGAUAUCAUCUUAUAGCACCUAGCAUUUAGUCGUUGUGCUAAAUGCAUCAACUUAUUAACUAAGAAUUUAUUUAAGGGCAAAAGCAUCAACUUGUCAACUAAGAAUUUAUUUAAGGGCAAAAAUCUUAUUAGCUGGCAACAGUACAAACUUCAGCGACCUACCAUUCUCAGUAACGAAGACAGAUGGUUUCCAUACUUCUCUUCAACAUAACAUGUUUCACCAAAGUGAACAUUACCCAGGGAACUAUGUGUAACCAACUCGAUGUUGCGUGAAAGUAGACACAUAUAUGUGUAUUAUCAAUUAAACAUAUGAUUAAAUAAGAAGGCAAACAAAAGUUCAGAGGCAAUUAGAAGCUGCUUGUAGGCUGCAUAACACAUAGAGGAAAUCAGCCAUACUGACACUGGAUUAUGAGGUUUAUCAUAUGCUUGUUUAUCAUGACUAACCAGUCGAGAUGACUGCAGCAUCCGUUGAAGCAUCGAGCAUGACAAGGUUCCUGACCCACAUCCCGUCGUUCCUACCAUAUAAUGUUGUGUAGUGGUUUAUGCCGAUCAACAAAAUUUAGAUCAAAUCGAUAUCAUCAAGUGAUGGUAGUCUAGAUAGCCGUCAGUGGGAUAUCUUAGUAGUGAAAGUUAGAUCAAAAGUGUGGAUACCCAAGAAUAGGAUACCUUGUGCACACAAACUCAAAAUAAACUGUUAUUGGUUUUGAUUCUGAACAACAUGAUAAUUCUGCGUCCAUAGCAAAACCUAGAGAAGAUUUGAAUGCAAGAAAGCUAACCACUUGGAGCUACUCAUGUAGAAACAAAAGGGGAGAAGGAGACAAUUCGAAAAACUGAAAACCAGAGCACAUGGAAAUAAGCAUUCAGUAGUUAAUUUACAAUCAACGUCAAUGGAUCAUUCAACUUAUGAGACAGAACAACUCAAGUGUCUCAGCACUUGACUACUUCACUUGUUAUCAUUGACUUGCACUAAAUUUUAGAAAAUUGAAAUCUCAUGACUUAAAUCGAACCCUGUCAGCCUUCUUGGAUUUUAUUCAAAGACCUUAUAAACAUAGAGGAACAAAAUCUACACAAACAAAGAAGAAAUGUUUUAGGAGUAGGGCAUCGGAAGAAAGAGGUAGGAAAAAAUCAAGAGAAAGAUGCACAUGUGUACCUGCGUUGUGCUUCUCAUGUUAAUGCCUCUCGUAUUCGUUGGGUUGACGGGCGACGAAGCUGGAGCAGGACAAAGUCGGCCAUCUCAACAAAACAGGGUCAUCUUCGAUCACAUCACCAUCACUCGCUGAAUUUCCAUCAAACAAAGACCAUACCAAUUAUGGGCUGCAAGCUUUCAUCACACCCAGCCUCGAAUGUUGAACCUUGCACAAGCUAAAUCUGGCACUUUUAUAUUGAAAAUAAAACAAUACUUGCACAUAUCAACAUCGUAUUUGUUUUCCUUGGUGUACUAUAACUAUCUCCACCACAUCAAGUACUCUUUGCAAGUUAAUAAUUCAUCAGACACUUAAGAGUGCAAAGCCAAACAUCAAGAAAAUAAAUUGGAUUCAGUAUGGCAGAGGAAAGUAUUGGACAUGAGAGAAAAUGUGUUGCUGGAUGGUUGAUCUUGUUGCCGUCGUAGUUUGCAAGGUGAGGUGAACUGAUCUUGUUAGAGACCAAAGGCUACAUUGCUGCUGCUUGAUGUCAUCUUGGUUGGUAAUUCCAUCAAAACAUAUCAAAGCUGCACCUGCGGUACAUAGUUUUAGCUAAAAUAGUGUGCUCAGAAUCAGCAUGCGGCUAUUAGAAAGUUCAAACAAAUUAAAGGAGCAGAACGAUGGUGCUUGCAUCUUGUCUCAGGAUGGUGGCAAGAGGACACUACAUUGAGGGAGCACACGAAGCAUCUACCACAUGGCUAUGCCUAUCGUGGAGACGGUGGCUCAGAUCUAUGGCUUGGCGUCGUAGAACCUACGACCGAAAGCCGUGCCAGUCCCUCGCCGCGCAUUCCCCAGAGACCUCGCUAAUGCACCUGAAACCACGGCGGCUGCCCGAACCCCCGCCUCCAUGCCGGCAGUGUCGCGGCAUGGUUGGGAGACCUGGCCCCAUGAGAUAGAGAGAUGCGAAGCUACCACCGCUCGGGGAUUCAGGUCUGCACCAAGGGCCGAACCUUCUCAUCGCUGCCAUUCUCUGCGUGACCAGCUAGGAGAUGCAGGCUUACCACAAGAGGAAGGUUAAUCUAAGCCACAAGAAUAGAGGUAGGAUUUUAGAGUGGAGAUGUCCUUAGAUAGCCUAGAGAUGCUAGGACUACGUGAUACAUCUCCAACGUAUCUAUAAUUUUGUAUUGUUCCAUGCUAUUAUAUUGUCUGUUUUGGAUGUUUUGUAUGCAUUAAUAUGCUAUUUUAUAUUAUUUUUGGGACUAAAUUAUUAACUUAGAGCCUAGUGCCAGUUUCUGUUUUUUUUCUUAUUUUUAAGUUUUACAAAAAAGGAAUAUCAAACGGGGUCCAAAAUAAAAUUUUCACGAUGAUUUUUCUUGGACCAGAAGACACACAUAGGACUUGGAGAUGAAGUCAGAGGAGUCCCGAGGAGGCCACAAGCCUCCAGGGCAUGCCCUAGGGGGGGAGGGGCGCCCCUGGCUUGUGAGCCCCUCGGAGGUCCUCUAAUCCUAAUUCUUGGUCUAUAAAUUCCCAAAUAUUCCCAAACGACUAGAAGCGUCCACCAAAAUACUUUUAUGCCACCGCAGGUCUCUGACCUCGUGAGAUCCCAUCAGGAGGCCUUUUCCGGUACUUUGUCGGAGGGGGAUUCAAUCAUCGAGGGCUUCUACAUCAACCCUAUUGCCCUUCCGAUGAAGCGUGAGUAGUUUACCACAGACCUACGGGUCCAUAGGCAGUAACUAGAUGGCCUUUUCUCUCUCUUUGAUCUUCAAUACAAUGUUCUCCUCGAUGUUCUUGGAGAUCUAUUUGAUGUAAUCUUCUUUUGCGGUGUGUUUGUCGAGAUUCGAUGAAUUGUGGAUUUAUGAUCAACUUAUCUAUGAAUAUUAUUUGAAUCUUCUCUGAAUUCUUAUAUGCAUGAUUUGAUAUCUUUGUAUUUCUCUUUGAAUUAUGGGUUUGGUUUGGCCAACUAGAUUGGUAGUUCUUGCAAUGGGAGAGGUGCUUAGUUUUGGGUUCACUCUUGUGGUGUCCUCACCCAGUGACAAAGUAGGGAUAGCGAGGCACGUAUUUGUAUUGUUGCCAUCAAAGGUAAAAAGAUGGGGUUUUCAUCAUACUGCUUGAGUUUAUCCCUCUACAUCAUGUCAUCUUACUUAAAGCGUUACUCUGUUCUCUUGAACUUAAUACUCUAGAUGCAGGCAAGAGUCGGUCGAUGUGUGGAGUAAUAGUAGUAGAUGCAGGCAGGAGUCGGUCUACUUGACACAGACAUGAUGCCUAUAUUCAUAAUCAUUGCCUGUAUUUUCAGAUCUAUAUACCAAAAAUACCAAAAAUAUCUCGCUGAGUUUUAUUUACUUUUAUGUUUUAGUAAUCUUUUAUAUCUAUCUCUAUCAGAUCUCACCUUUGUAAGUGACCAUGAAGGGAUUAACAAUCCCUUUAUCGCGUUGGGUGCAAGUGUUUGAUUGUUUGUGUAGGUGCAUAUAUUGGGGACUUUCAUGUUUCUCCUACUGGAUUGAUACCUUGGUUCUUAACUGAGUAAAAUACUUAUCUCUACUUUACUGCAUCACCCUUUCCUCUUCAAGGGAAAAACCAAUUCAAGCUUAACAAGUAGCACGAAGAAUUUCUGGCACCAUUGCCGGGGAGAUCUACAUCAAGCCUACUGAGUACCCAUCAUAAACUCUCAUCUCUUGCAUUACAUCAUUUGUCAUUUGCCUCUCGUUUUCCUCUCCCCCACUUCUAAAAUGUUUUCAGAAGAUCGCAAAAAUAUUUUCCAUUUUAUUUGUGUUCUUUCCGUUUGCCUUUAUGUCUUACUUUGUUCGUUUGCUUGUUUGCUUGGCAUAAUUGUGUGUCUAUUGGGAAUCAAGAACAAAAAGCUUAUGGAUCCUCAUCCACUUACUAAUCUUUUUAAAAGAUCCAACUAUGAUGAACCUAUUGCUAGUGAUUUGAGUGCACUAGAUUUUCUUUAUGAGGUUUUGCUUGAAAUUUGUUAAUCGGAAAAUUGUGAUGAAGUGUUAAAAUAAGAAAGUUAUAAAGUGAUUCACGAUAGCUCCUUGAAUGAAAAUCAUGAUUUCACUAAUGUUAUUAUAAAUUCUAUUAAUGUAAAUUAUGCUAAAAAUAUGCAAAAACCUAAGCUUGGGGAUGCUAGUUUUGUUAUGUCCACUACUUAUUACAAUAAUCAUGAUUGGGGUGAUGAUGUUUCUUAUGAUCUUGAAACUUUAUUUAAGCCCCAUGAUGAAUAUGAAAGUGAGUUUGGAAGAGUAUCAACUCUAGGUAAAAAUAAUCCCACAUAUUUGGAGAGUGUUCAAUCUUAUGAAAUUUUUGAUAAAAGUGGGUUUGGGGAGGUCAUGACUUUAGUUAAUGUUAAUUCCACUAUUUCGAAAGAGUGUCAACUUCGCAUGCAUGCGGAUCGUGUUGAGAAUAUGUUAUGUGAUAGCUAUAUUGUUGAAUUUGCUUAUGAUCGUACAUGUAAUUAUUAUGAGAGAGGAAAAUAUGGUCGACGAAAUUUUCAUGUUACUAAAUUAUCUCUCUUCAUGUUGAGAUUGUCUAUGUUUUAUUCUUCUUCCUUUGCAUAUGCUAGUUUUUGCUUGCCGUGAUAAUUUGUUUGCUUAUAAAAUGAAUAUGCAUAGAAAGUAUGUUAGACUUAAAUGUGUUUGUCACAUAUUUUAUGAUUCUCUCUUUGUGCUCCAAUUCUUGUCUUUCAUGUGAGCAUCAUCAAAAUUACCAAUGCCUAGCUAAAAGGCAUUAAACAAUACCGCUUGUUGGGAGGCAACCCAAUUUUAUUUUAUUUUUGAUUUUUUGUUCUUGUUUUUGAAUAAAUAUGUCAUCUAGCCUCUGUUUAGAUGUAUUUUCAUGUUUUAAUUAGUGUUUGAGCCAAGUAAGACCUUUGGGAUGGCUUACGGUGAUAGUUGAUUUGAUCUUGCUGAAAAAUAGAAACUUUUGCGCCCAGUAAAACAAUUUUCAAACAUCAUAUAAGCGUGAUUUUGAUCUGAAUUUUUUGCACAAGAUUUAUAUACAAAUUACCCAAGUUGUACUAAUUUUUAAGAAUUUUUGGAGUUACAGAAGUAUACGAAGUUUCCUGAUUACUACAGAUUGUUCUAUUCUUGACAAAUUCUGUUUUCUAUGUGUUGUUUGCUUAUUUGGAUGAAUCUAUGGGUAGUAUCGGGGGGUAUGAACCAUGAAGAAGUUGGAAUAGAGUAGAUACCACACCUAUAUAAAUAAAGAAUGAGUUCACAACAGUACCAAAAAGUGGUGAUUUAUUUUCUUAUACUAACGGAUAUCAUGAGUUUUCUGCUGAGUUUUGUGUUGUGAAGUUUUCAAGUUUUGGGUAAAGAUUUGAUGGAUUAUGGAAUAAGGAGUGGCAAGAGCCUAAGCUUGAGUAUGCCCAAGGCAACCCAAGGUAAUAUUCAAGGAUAACCAAGCAUCUAAGCUUGGGGAUGUCCCGGAUGGCAUCCCCUCUUUCGUCUUCAAUCCAUCGGUAAAUUUACUUGAGCCUAUAUUUUUAUUCACCACAUGAUAUGUGUUUUGCUUGGAGCGUCUUGUAUGAUAUGAGUCUUUUCUUUUUAGUUUUCCACAUUUAUCCUUGCUGUACACACCUUUUGAUAUGGACAUGCAUGAAUCAUGAAUUUAUUAGAAUACUCUAUGUGCUUCACUUAUAUCUUUUGAGUUGGGCAGUUUUUGCUCUAGUGCUUCACUUAUAUCUUUUUAGAGCAUGGUAGUGGCUUUAUUUUAUAGAAAUUGUUGAACCUCAUGCUUCACUUAUAUUAUUUUGAGAGUCUCUUUAAACAGCGUAGUAAUUUUCUUAGGUUAUGAAUAUAGUCCUAAUAUGAUAGGCAUCCAAAGGAUAUAUAAUAAAAACUUUCAUAAAGAGCAUUGAAUAUAUGAAAAGUUUGAUUCCUUGCAUUUGUUUUGAGAUAUGAAGAUGGUGAUAUUAGAGUCAUGCUAGUAGUAAAUCGUGGAGUUAAAUAAAUAAUUGCAUUAAGGUUUGUGAUUCCCCUAGCAUGCGCAUAUGGUCUUCUAGUUAUGUGACGAAGCUGGAGCGCAAUUUAUCCUUGAUUGUCUAUCUUUGUGUGAAGGUCGGGGGCACGCGAUGGUUAAAUCCUACCAACCUAUCCCCUAGGAGCAUGCGUAGUAGUACUUUGCUUCGAGGGCUAAUAGAUUUUUUGCAAUAAGUAUGUGAGUUCUUUAUGACUAAUGUUGAGUCCAUGGAUUAUAUGCACUCUCACCCUUCCACCUUUGCUAGACACUCUAGUACCACACAACUUUCGCCGGUGCAUUAAACCCACCUGAUACGUCUCCAACGUAUCUAUAAUUUUUUAUUGUUCCAUGCUGUUAUAUUAUCAUUCUUGGAUGUUUUACAAUCAUUUUAUAGUCAUUUUAUAUCAUUUUUGGUACUAACCUAUUGACAUAGUGCCGAGUGCCAGUUGCUAUUUUCUGCAUGUUUUUUACAUCGCGGGAAAUCAAUAUCAAACGGAGUCCAAACACAGUGAAACUUCCUGAGGAAUUAUUUUGGGCCAGAAGACAUCCAUUGGGCCAAGAAAGCACCAGGGGGGUGCUCCGAGGGGGGCAGCAACCACCAAGGUGCACUUGGGGGCCCAGGCGCGCCCUGGUGGGUUGUGCCCACCUCGGGUGCCCCCUGAACCACCUCUUUGCUCUAUAAAUACCCCAAUAUUCCAGAAACCCAAGGGGAGUCGACGAAAAUCAAUUCCAGACGCCGCAAAGUCCAGAACCACCAGAUCCAAUCUAGACACCAUCACGGAGGGGUUCACCACUUUCAUUGGUGCCUCUCCGAUGAUGCGUGACUAGUUCUUUGUAGACCUACGGGUCCGUAGUUAGUAGCUAGAUGGCUUCCUCUCUCUCUCUCUCCAUUAUCAAUACAAUGGUCUCUUGGAGAUCCAUAUGAUGUAAGUCUUUUGCGGUGUGUUUGUUGGGAUCCGAUGAACUUUGGGUUUAUGAUCAGAUCUAUGUUUUCGUCCAUGAAAGUUAUUUGAGUCUUCUUUGAUCUCUUAUAUGCAUGAUUGCUUAUAGCCUCGUAUUUCUUCUCCGAUAUUUGGGUUUUGUUUGGCCAACUUGAUCUAUUUAUCUUGCAAUGGGAAGAGGUGCUUUGUGAUGGGUUCGAUCUUAUGGUUCUUGAUCCCAGUGACAGAAAGGGAAACAACACAUAUGUAUCAUUGCUAUUAAGGAUAACAAGAUGGGGUCUAUUUCUACAUAAAUAGAUCUUGUCUACUCAUGUCAUCGUUCUAAUUGCAUUACUCCGUUUCUCCAUGAACUUAAUAGACUAGAUGCAUGAUGGAUAGCGGUCGAUGUGUGGAGUAAUAGUAGUAGAUGCAGGCAGGAGUCAGUCUAUUAAUCUUGGAUGUGAUGCCUAUAUAAUGAUCAUUGCCUGGAUAUCGUCAUGAUUAUUUGAAGUUCUAUCAAUUGCCCAACAGUAAUAGUUUUCCCACCGUUUGCUAUUUUUCUCGAGAGAAGCCACUAGUGAAACCUACGCCCCCGGGUCUCUUUUCAUCAUAUUUGCCUUUGCGAUCUAUUUUCCUUUGCAUUUAUUUUCAGAUCUAUUAAACCAGAAAUACAAAAAAUACCUUGCUGCAAUUAUUUGUUCCGCGAUCUAUUUAUCCUAUCUGCCACUUUUACCUCACGUUAUUUGCCUAUCUUGAGGCGCCGUACGCGAAAGGGAUUGACAACCCCUUUAACACGUCGGGUUGCGAGUAUUUGUUAUUUGGUGCAGGUGAUGUUUACAUGUUGUGAGGAGGUUAUCCUACUGGUUCGAUAACCUUGGUCUCAUCACUAAGGGAAAUACCUACUGUCGCUAUACUGCAUCAUCCCUUCCUCUUUUGGGAAUGCCGGGGAGGAUCUUCAACAUCAACCAGGUUCCUAAUCACAAAUCUCAUCUCCUCGCAAUUUACAUUAUUUUCCAUUUGCCUCUCAUUUUCCUAUCCCCCACUUCACAAAAAAAUUGCCAUUUUAUUUGCCCUCUUUUUUGUUCGUCGUUUUCUCGUCAGAUCUCUUAUUUGCUUGAACUCGUCACCAUGAGUGACUUUGAUAUGGCAGAAACAGAUGAUGGCCUAACUCCUAAAAUGGAGCAUAUGGGUAAUCUGGAUGGCAAAACUUUAUUUUGGGGCAAGGGAAUUUUAUGGGAAAAGAACAUAUCCAAGAAUUUUCCAAUUGUGUCAGAAAAUUAAGUCUUGAUGAUAUUCCAAUACUUAAAAGGACAAAAUCUUAUGCGGAAGCUAUUUCAGCACUUGUUCUGAAACUUGUAACUAGAUUUAUUCGUACCCAUCCCACCUUGAAAAGAUUGUUCUGUGAGUUGCCCGCUAUAAAAAAUCCUAAAGCUAAAAAGUUAGCAAUUCUUGUUUUGAUGAAUGAAUUUGACUACAUAAUACGGGAAGCUAGGGAAAUCUUUGAUUUUUAUUGCAUGAAUCGUGAAAAACCCGUGAUUGAUGAAAUUCUUUAUAAUAGUGAUUAUGAUUUAAGACAUUUGCUUGGAGAUAACCAAAUCCUUAAUGAGAAUCUUAAAAAGCAAGUCCCCGUUUUAGAUACGAUUCAACAAGUUUUUAAUGAUAUUAAUCAACUCUAUUCUUGGAUCACUGCCGGAAAUCAAAGGGGUUAUGAUAAAAAGUAACUUGAUAGUUCUAAGGUUUCCAUGGAUAAUGUGUUUUAUGUUUUAUUUACAAAACCCCCUGAGGGAGUCCUGGAUUAGGGGGUAUCCGGACAGCCGGACUAUAUACUUUGGCCGGACUGUUGGACUAUGAAGAUACAAGAUUCAAGACUUCAUCCCGUGUCCGGAUGAGACUCUCCUUUGCGUGGAAGGAAAGCUUGGUGAUUCGGAUGUUAGAUCUCCUUCUCUGUAACCGACUCUGUGUAACCCUAGCCUCCUCCGGUGUCUAUAUAAACCGGAGGGUUUAGUCUGUAGGACAAGAACAAUCAUAAUCAUAGGCUAGCUCCUAGGGUUUUAGCCUCUACGAUCUCGUGGUAGAUCAACUCUUGUAAUACUCAUAUCAUCAAGAUCAAUCAAGCAGGAAGUAUGGUAUGGCCUCCAUCGAGAGGGCCCGAACCUGGGUAAAACAUCGUGUCCCCUGCCUCCUGUUACCAUUAGCCUUAGACGCACAAUUCGGGACCCCCUACCCGAGAUCCGCCGGUUUUGACACCGACAUUAGUGCUUUCAUUGAUAGUUCCACUGUGCCGUCGCAAUAAGGUUUGAUGGCUCGUCUCGUUGUCAAGGACAACAUCACUUCUAGGGCAGACCUGGCUCUAGGCCAAACUCUCCGGCUGGGUGGCCUCGUCAUGACCGCCCGAUCGGCUGUCGCCCCGAUGAUGACUUCUCAGGUCAUCAAAAACAGCCUCCACGUCGAUUCAGAACUUGCCGAACAGAUGGACCCAAUGGAGAUCUUCUCCCUUAAUGAGGUCUUGGAUUGCAUCGCCGUUCUGGGCGUCACUACGGACUAUGACCGGAUCGGGCUUAAACCCGACCAAAGGGAGAUUUACUCUCCACCGGUCACCCAUGAGAUAGCGGUAGUGGAAGAGCAUCGUAUGAAUUCUCCCUCUAUUUUGAGGACGAACUAUGUCCGGAUUUCUGAGCUCUCUGAGCCGGAUACCCGCCCGCGGGAGGAAAUGACCCAAACCCCGAAUUUAGAAUCGGGCGGCGGGCCAAAAAAAUUGGGCAACAUCCCGGAGCUCGAGCCGCCAAGCUCGGAAACUUCUCUGCCCUUGAGUCUCAGAUUGGGUCAGGAUUCAGACUUAAAUCCGCCCACCCACCCAGAUUUAUUCAAUCUUUCUCAAAUCAGACAAGAGCCCUAAGAGACAGUACAUCAUUACUGCGCCAGAUUCCUCCUUGUGAUAAACAAGGUCAAGGACUGUCUCGAGAAGGACGCAAUCUCACUCUUUUGCAAAAAUUGCACGGACAAAGGGAUCCUCAACGCUAUAAGUCGCCGUGACAUAGUACACUUUGCUGACUUAGCGGCCAUAGUAUAGAAGUACUUCGUGAUGGAAAGCGCCUGGAAAACCCAAACAAACUUCUGGGACAAUCCGGCUCUCAAUAAACCCUUCGCCCGAAUGAAAAGGGUAAACUCUCGCAAGUCACCCGAUUCAAUUAGCAAAAAACCAAGGCCCAGUGCAGGGCGUGGAACCGUAUUGGAGAAAUGGCUCAAUCGGCCAUGCAGAAUUCACAGCACACCGGAUACCAUACCAACACAUAGCCUUAGAGCAUGUUGGAUACUCCGGCUGGUAGCGAAGAGCGGCGAGGAUCUCCUCAUCAACCAUACUGCAAAACAACAUCCCGCCGAGAAUAACAAUGUGGUACUGAUAGUCUUCGAGACUUUCGCCUCAAAUAAUAGGCACAAGCGAGCUCUCCGUAGCCUCGCCGAAGUUUGCCAUGUGGCAACAAUAAAUCCGUGGAACGACACGGCCAUAACUUUGAAUGUCAGUGACGAACCUCAAUUCCGAACAGCCCGGGCACCAGCCGCCUUGGUCCUUAGUCCAACCGUGGACGGCUUCUGGCUCACUAAAGUGCUCAUGGACGGCGGAAGAGGAUUAAACCUCAUCUACGAGGAAACCCUCAACAAGAUGGAAAUUGAUAAGAGCCGCAUCGAGCGAAGCAGCAUGACCUUUAGGGGAAUCAUCCCUAGUCGGGAGGCACGGUGUGCGGGAAAAAUAACACUGGAUGUGGUAUUCGGCAUGCUAGAGAAUUACAGGUCCGAAGAAAUCACGUUCCAAGUGGCCCCGUUCAGCAGCGGAUACCACGCCCUCUUAGGGCGGGACACAUUCACGAGCUUUCAAGCUAUACCCCAUUAUGGGUACAUGAAGCUCAAAAUGCCCGGACCCAAUGGAAUCAUCACUCUAGCUAGUGAUCCGGACGUCGCACUCCGCGCCAAAAAUAAAACUGCCGCACUAGCCCUGGAGGCAUUAUCCGAAGCCCUCGCGGCCGAAGAACUAACAACGCCGCGUGCCACAGUGGACAGAGACGACGUGAUACUCGACAAGCGACCCAAGUCCACCUCUUUCAAGCCCGCAGACGAUAUAGUCAAAUUCCAGGUCCACCCAACAGACCCCACAAAGACAGCUGCCACACAGUUGAACCCCACAAUGGACGCCGCACUGCGAGAUUUACUACUUGAGAAUUGGGACAUUUUCACCUGGCAUCCUUCAGACAUGCCGGGCAUCCCACGGAGGCUGGCCGAACACAACCUCAAUAUACUGAGAGGAUACAAGCCAGUCAAGCAGGCUCUUAGGCGGUUCUCAGAGCCUAAGCAGCAAGCCAUGGGAGAAGAGCUAGCUAAGCUACUCGAGGCCGGAUUCAUCAGAGAUAUAAAACAUCCGGAUUGGCUAGCAAACCUUGUAAUGGUACCAAAGAAGGACAAAUCAUGGCGCCUAUGUGUCGAUUUCAAAGACCUCAAUAAGGCUUGCCCUAAGGAUCCCUUCCCCUCCCUCGCAUUAACCAAAUCAUCGACGCCACCGCAGGACACGACUCAGUGUGUUUCCUCGACGCAUACUCCGGAUAUCAUCAGAACAAUAUGGCAGAAUCCGACCAAGCUGCAACGGCCUUCAUAACGCCAUAUGGCCCCUUCUGUUUCAACACUAUGCCUUUUGGGCUCAAAAACACCGGCACAACCUAUGAACGCAUGAUUCAGACAUGUCUGGAGAAGCAAAUCAACAAAAUAGUGGAUGCAUACGUGGACGACGUGGUCAUCAAAACAAGACACGUCGAAACUUUAAUAGAUGACUUGAGACUCACGUUCGACAACCUCCGAACAUACGACAUCAAGCUCAACCCGGAAAAAUGUGUCUUCGGCGUACCCUUCGGGAAGUUGCUCGGCUUCAUCAUUUCCAAUAGAGGAAUCGAAGCAAAUCCGGCAAAAAUCCGAGCUUUGUCGCAGUUGGCUAUCCCAACAGACCUCAAGCAGAUCCAGAAACUAACUGGAUGUGUGGCUGCCUUAAGCCGCUUUAUCUCUCGAUUAGGAGAAAAGGCAUUACCUCUUUAUCGCCUUCAUCGGCGCACCGAACACUUCGAGUGGACGGAGGCGGCCAUGGCCGGAAUGGAAGAAAUAAAGGCCCUAUUGACCAGCAAUCCAGUCCUGACCGCGCCAAAUACCGGCAAACCUAUGCUAUUAUACAUAGCUGCAACACACCAGGUUGUAAGCGCAGUGCUCGUCGUCAAAUGAGAAGCAAACAGACACAAGUUCCCACUCCAAAAGCCGGUAUAUUACGUGUCCAUUGUCCUCACUCCAUGCAAAUCCCGAUACCCACACUAUCCAAAAAUAGCAUACGCGGUCUUCAUGGCAUCCCGGAAGCUAUGACACUACUUUCGAGAGUGUUCGAUUACGGUGGCCUCCGAAGUACCUCUUAAUGACAUAAUAAACAACCGCGACGCCACAGGCCGGAUUGCCAAAUGGGCUAUCGAGCUCCUUCCAUUCGACAUAACAUACAAACUGAAAGUGCGUUAUAUCGACUAGUGGGGGGGGGGGUGAAUAGGCGAUUUUUAUAAAUUCUUCACUGAGUAAUUUGCUGGUGAGGAAAUUCCUUAGCGAAGAACUAUUAGCAGCGGAAUACUCAGAAGUAAGCAUAACAGGAUACAGACAUAGUCAUCAUGAUGAAAUGAAGACAAGCACAGAGUAUAGAAAGCGUAAACAUAGGAUAACACAAGAUGAAGACAAACAAACUGAAGAAGUUGAACUGAGGAAAUUGAGAAAGUCUUCAGUCAAAGUCUUCAAACACAGAUAUGAACAAUCACUCAACACAGUAAUGAGGAGCUCGAGCGAGAGAGAGAGCGGUCGAGCAGAGUAAAGGAAGUGAGGAAGGGAUGAGGGGGUAUUUAUAGUCGCAAUGAAAAACUAUUCGCCCGAAGAUUUAGGACGAACCUGCCCCUGACCCUUCUCCUUUGCUUGACAUGUGUCACCCACGUACUGAGGAGUGGAGAUCGUGUUAGAUCGUGGGUGAAUAGAUAAGUCUUUCAUGGGAUCCGGAACGGAUUGAGCAGUAAAACCGAAAAAUUUGGAUAAGAUUAGUUUUAAAGUUCAUUCGCAAAUUCUUCAGCUGACAAGGACAUAGUGAAGAUUUUGAACGAGUUUCAAAUAGAACGCACAUGAAGAAUUUGUGAAUAGAUUGGGUUGAGUAUAACAUAGACGGGGAAGGGUCCAAUCACAUUCACUUAGCAGAAAAAUGCAACUUGAAGAAUAAGCCAUAAGUGAAUGCUGCCAAUGAAGAAAAACGACGGAAACAUUGAAGAUUUUGCAAAGUUGAAGAAUUUGAAAAACUGAAGAAUUUCAAAAACUGAGGAAUUUCAAAAAUGAAGAUUUUCAACUUUGGUGGUGGCGUGACCCACCGUAUAAGAAUGAUGAUUUCAGACACCGUGUACAAUUGUCGUAGGGUUCUGAGAAUCAAAUUCUUCAUUAAUUUCUUCACACUUAGAGUGUUAUUCUUCAUUGAUUGAAGAAAAACGUUUCUUCAUGUGUUGCACAUCUAAGUCAUCAAUUUUGCAUAAGUGUCAGGAUGUGUGUCCUUUCAGAGAACAUUCGAAGAUUCUAAAAUAUUUAGCUCACAUCGCAACUUGCUAAAUCUCUUCUCAUCCAAGGGCUUUGUGAAGAUAUCGGCUAGCUGUUCUUCAGUCUUCACAUGCUCGAUGGAGAUGUCGCCCUUCAACACAUGAUCACAAAGAAAAUGAUGACGAAUCUGAAUGUGCUUUGUCUUCGAGUGCUGAACUGGGUUGUGAGCAAUCUUGAUGGCACUCUCAUUGUCAUAGAGGAGAGGCACAUUCUUCACAUUGAUGCCAUAGUCCUUGAGGGUUUGCUUCAUCCAUAGCAGUUGAGCACAGCAAGAACCAGCAGCAAUGUACUCAGCCUCUGCAGUAGACAGUGAUACGUAGUUCUGUUUCUUCGAGGACCAAUAGACCAAAGAUCAUCCGAGGAAAUGACAAGUACCAGAUGUUGACUUGCGGUCCACACGAUCACCAGCAUAAUCAGAGUCAGAAUAUGCAAUGAGAUCAAAAGUAGAGCCCUUGGGGUACCAUAAUCCUAGUGUUGGUGUGGUAGCUAGAUAUCGAAGAAUAUGCUUCACAACCUUAUGGUGUGAUUCCUUCGGUGCAGCUUGAAAUCGGGCACACAUGAAAACACUAAGCAUUAUAUCUGGCCUAGAUGCACAUAAGUACAAUAACGGACCAAUCAUGGAGUGGUAUACCUUGUGAUCAAAGUCAAUACCAUUUUCAUCAGUGCAUAGAUGGCCAUUCGUGGGCAUAGGAAUUUUGACGCCUUUGCAGUCUUGCAUGCCGAAUUUCCUCAGAACUUCCUUGAGGUAUUUCUCCUGAGAUAUGAAUAUACCAUUGUGCUGUUGACGAAUUUGAAGACCUAAAAAGAAUUUCAACUCUCCCAUCAUAGACAUUUGAUAUUCUUCACUCAUCAUAUAGGCAAAUUCAUCACUAUAACGUUGGUCAGUACAGCCAAAGAUAAUAUCAUCAACGUAUAUUUGGCACACAAACAGUUCCCCAUCAUAAGAUUUAGUAAAGAGAGUAAGGUUGAGUGAACCGGGUGUGAAGCCAUUCUUCAUGAAGAAUUCCUUCAAAGUGUCAUACCACGCCCGAGGGGCCUGCUUGAGGCCAUACAGGGCCUUGUUGAGUCUGAAGACUUUGUCAGGAUUCUUUGGAUCUUCAAAACCUGGGGGUUGAGCAACAUAUACUUCUUCCUCAAGCUUACCAUUGAGGAAUGCACUUUUCACAUCCAUUUGUUGUAAGAUAAUAUUAUGAUGUUUAGCAUAAGCAAGUAAUAUGCGAAUAGCCUCAAGUCUAGCAACAGGUGCAAAAGUUUCAUCAAAAUCAAUUCCUUUAACCUGUGUGUAGCCUUGAGUUACAAGUCGUGCCUUAUUCCUCACCACAAGGCCAUUUUCAUCUUGCUUGUUGCGGUAGAUCCACUUUGUGUCGAUGAUAUUAUGCUUGCGAGGAUCUGGACGUUUAACCAGUUCCCAGACAUUGUUGAGAUCGAACUGAUGUAAUUCUUCUUGCAUGGCCUGAAUCCACUCAGGCUCCAGAAAUGCUUCAUCUACCUUAGUGGGCUCUGUAAUAGAGUCAAAAGCAUAGUGCCCACAAAAGUUAUAUAAAUGUGAAGCUUUUGAGCGUGUGAGAGGACCUGGCGCUCGAAUGUCAUCGAUGAUCUUUUCAACUUGCACUUCUUUUGCCAUGCGAGGAUGAGCUGGUUGUCGUUAAGGAAUUUGAUCAGCAUUUUCUUCAGCACCAUUUUCUUCAGCAUUUUCAUCAGGUGCACCAGCUCGAUUUUCUUCAUGUUCUGGAAUGAAUUCUUCAACACAUUCCUCAGUAGCCUUGAACUUGAUAGAAUCCUCAGGUUCUGGUUCAUCUAUCACAGAAGGUAGGUGCUCUCUUUGCGAGCCAUUAGUUUCAUCGAACCGCACAUCUACAGUUUCAACAACCUUGUGAAGAACGUUGUUGAAGACUCUGUAGGUGUGCGAGUCCUUUCCGUAACCAAGCAUAAAACCUUCAUGUGCUUUCGGUGCAAAUUUAGCAUUGUGACGAGGAUCUUUAAUCCAACAUUUAGCACCGAAGACUUUGAAGUAACUCACAUUGGGUUUCUUGUCAGUGAGGAGUUCAUAGGUAGUCUUCUUGAAGAAUUUGUGAAGAUAUACCCGAUUGAUGAUGUGGCACGCAGUAUCAAUUGCAUCAAUCCAAAAACGACGAGGAGUUUUGUAUUCAUCAAGCAUAGUGCGAGCCAUUUCAGCGAGGGUUCUGUUCUUGCGCUCCACGACGCCAUUCUGCUGAGGAGUAUAAGGAGCAGAUAACUCAUGAGUAAUACCAAGUUCAUCAAGAUAGCCAUCAAUACCGGAAUUCUUGAACUCAGUCCCAUUGUUAGUUCUGAUGUGCUCGAUCUUCACACCAAAGUUGGUUGAAGCCCUCGAGGAAAAUCCUUUGAAGAUUUCCUGCACUUCAUGUUUGUAAGUGACAAUGUGUACCCAUGUGUAACGAGAAUAGUCAUCAACAAUAACAAAGCCAUAUAGAGAUGCAUCAUUUGGAACAGCAGAAUAAUGAUUAGGACCAAAGAGAUCCAUGUGAAGCAAUUCAAAUGGACGAGUAGUGGUCAUGAUAGUCUUCGCUGGAUGCUUGGCCUUUGUCAUCUUUCCAGCUUCACAAGCUCCGCAUAAGUGAUCCUUGAAGAAUUUGACAUUCUCAAUGCCAAUGACAUGCUUCUUCUUCGCAAGCGUGUUCAGAUUCCUCAUGCCAGCAUGACCAAGUCGUCGAUGCCAUAGCCAGCCUUCUGAGGCUUUUGCAAGUAAGCACAUGGCUGGUUGUGGUCCUGUAGAGAAAUCAACAAUAUAUAGAUCUCCUCUCCUAAAGCCUUCGAAGACUUUGGAAUGGCCAGCUUCCAUGAUCACAACACAUCGAUAUCUUCCAAAGACAACAACCAUAUCAAGGUCACAAAGUAUUGAGACAGCCAUGAGGUUGUAUCCUAAGGACUCGACAAGCAUGACUUUGUCCAUGUGUUGAUCCUUUGAGAUCGCAACCUUACCUAGACCCAAUACCUGACUUUUGCCUUUGUCAGCGAAGAUGAUGUGCUUCAGAUGUGACGGUGUUAAGGGAGCAUCCAUCAAUAGACUCUUGUCACCCGUCAUGUGAUUUGUACAUCCACUAUCUAGAACCCACUCGUUGACUUUGGGCUGAUCAUCCUGUAGAUGAAUUAGUGCAACUUACGAUCUCAUAUACUUCAUAAGUGAAGAAUAUGAUAUCAAGUUCAUCAGAUGAAUUUCAUCAAACAGUAAAACAAAUAUUUCAGUAUGAGGACGUGGGAAAUGAAAGUUCAUUUCAUCAUGAUUCGCCUGUGUCCUUUCAGGCAUUUUUGUCUGGCCUCCAGCAAAUUCUUCAGACGUUUAAAGCACGUCUGGAGACCUAACCCUGCAUAAAGGAUUAGUUUUUUUUCUUCACCACCCACAUCUGAAGGGGUGGCAAAGAGUUCAUCACUCUGCGAGCACCAUAUGAGAAAGGUGGCAUAGAGGCCAAUCCAUUUCGUUUCACAUAAGAGGGGUUAGGGUAAGCAUAUGAAUAAGCAGAGAAAUUCUUCGAGGACUUAUGAACAUAAUGAUUUGAAGAAUAAUGUGCAUAUUCAUAGCCCUUAGCUCUACUCUGCGAAACAGAGGGGUUAGCACGAUGAUAGUCAUAUGAGGACUUUGAUCCAUUUGAGGAAUUUGAUCCACGUGAGGAAUUUGGUCCGUAUGAGGACUUGGAUCCAUAUGAAGAAUUAGGUCCAUAUGAAGAGUUUGAUCUGGGGUUCCUGUUCUUCACAGGUGGUGUCAUGUGGACAUUUACCUUAAGACUUUCAACAUAACUUUUGGGAACCCAGAUUUUCUUCAUAGGGGAACCGUUCCUGCAGUUAGUGCCAACAUAUCUAGCAAAUACUUCACCAUUCUAAUUUUGAACAGUUUAUAGUUGGAGUCAAAUGACUCAUCAGAAGAAUGAUAAGAUUCACAUGUAAAGCCAAAUAAGUUAGAUGGAUCAACUGGAGGUCCCUUUGCAGCAACCCAUGAGGUUUUGGGGUACUGCUCAGGCUUCCAAUAUGUUCCAUCAGCAUUGAGUUUCCUCUCAAAGGCAAUACCCUCUUUCCUAGGGUUUCUGUUGAGGAUCUGCUUUUUGAGCACAUCACAAAGAAUCUGAUGCCCUUUGAGGCUUUUGUACAUGCCUGUCGUGUACAAUUCCUUCAGCCCUGCAUCGUUAGUGAUACUAGCAAUGUCCUCAGAUGAGGAAUUAGUGAUAGCCGAGGCAGGUGAAGAAUUUGUAACAGUUGAAGCAUUUGAACAUUCAGGUGAAGAAUUAGCAGAUUCACGUUCAAUGCACUUUAAGCAUGGAGGAACAAAUUCUUCUUGAGUAGCGCUGAUUUGUUGAGCAAGUAAUGAAUCACGAUCCUUCUGAAGAUCUUCAUAACUCACUCUUAGCUUCUCAAGAUCUUGCUUUCUUUGAAGAAAUUCAUAAGAAAGCUUCUCGUGAUCAGAUAAGAGAGUGUUAUGAUGACUUUGAAGGUUGUCAAACUGAGACUGAAGUCUCUGAAGAUUUUCAGUUAAGUCUUUAGUGCGGUCCAUUUCAUCACCCAACAUAUCAUCACUUUUGUCUAGCAUGUUUUCAAGUUUUUCGAUAGCCUUUUGUUGUUUCACAGCAAUUUUAGCAAGUUUAGAGAAACCGGGCUUAAGAUUUUCAUCAGAUUCAUCCUCACUAGAUUCAGAGGAGGGGUAUUUUGUUACCUUGGCACCUUUUGCCAUGAAGCAAUAGGUGGGAGCGUAGUCAUCAUUGUCUUCGUCAGCCUUGUUGGUGCGGUCAAUUUCUUUAGAGUUGAAGAUAGACUUGUUGACGAAAGCAGUAGCGAGAGCCAGACUCGCCACACCAGACUCGGACUCCUCAGAAGCCUCCUCUUCCUCAUGUUCCUCAGAUUCAGCUUCAGAGUCCAUUUCCUUGCCAAUGAAUGCCCGAGCCUUCUUGGACCUGCUCUUCUUGUGAGAUGAAGACUUCGAGGAUUUUGAUGAUGAAGAUUUUGAAGAUUUCUUCUUCUUCUUAGCGUCAUCAGAACUGUAGUCCUUGUAUUUCUUCUUCUUUAAUUCCUUUUCCCAUUGAGGACAAUCCUGAAUAUAUUGACCAGGUUUCUUGCAUUUGUGGCAAAGUCUUCUCUUAUAGUCACUUGAUGAGGAAUCACUGCUUCUUGAGGAUUUUCCAAAGCGACCACGUCUUGAGAACUUCUAGAACUUCUUCACGAGCAGUGCUAGCUCCUGGCUUAAUUCUUCAGGAUCACCGAGGCUACUACCAGAGUCUUCACAUUUAGAUUCAGACACAACCUUGGCCUUUAGGGCACAUGUUUUGCCAUAGCUUGAACCAUAGAGAUCUCUCUUUUCAGCAAUCUGGAACUCAUGAGUAUUUAGCCUCUCGAGGAUAUCAGCUGGAUCUAGUGACUUGUAAUCAGCUCGCUCUUGAAUCAUCAGUGCCAGAGUAUCAAAUGAGGAAUCUAGCGAUCUCAGCAAUUUCUUCACCACCUCAUGGUCAGUGAUGUCAGUGGCGCCAAGUGCUUGAAGCUCAUUUGAGAUGUCAGUGAGGCGAUCGAAGGUUUGCUGAACAUUUUCAUCAUCAAGUCUUUUGAAGCGGUUGAAGAGAUUGCGAAGAACGUCAACACGAGAGUCACGUUCAGUUGAGACUCCUUCGUUUACUUUGGAGAGCCUAUCCCAAAUAAGCUUAGCAGUUUCCAAAGCACUCACUCUACCAUACUGUCCUUUACUCAGAUGGCCACAUAUGAUAUUCUUCGCUUGAGAAUCGAGUUGCUUGAAUCUCUUCACAUCAGCAGCAUUCAGAGAAGGUGUGACUGAGGGAACACCAUUUUCCACAACGUACCAGAGAUCAUUGUCAAUUGCUUCAAGUUGCAUUCGCAUCUUAUUCUUCUAGUAGGGGUAGUCCGUGCCAUCGAAGGUAGGACACCCAGCGGAGACCUUGAUCAUACCUGCGGUCGACAUAACUAGAACUCCAGGCGGUUAAACCAAAAUCACACAGAACAAGGGAGUACCUUGCUUUGAUACCAAUUGAAAGUGCAUUAUAUCGACUAGAGGGGGGGUGAAUAGGCAAUUUUUAUAAAUUCUUCACUGAGGAAUUUGCCGGUGAGGAAAUUCCUUAGCGAAGAACUAUUAGAAGCGGAAUAAGUACUCAAAAGUAAGCAUAAUAGGAUACAGACAUAGUCAUCAUGAUGAAAUGAAGACAAGCACAGAGUACAGAAAGCGCAAACACAGGAUAACACAAGAUGAAGACAAACAGACUGAAGAAGUUGAACUGAGGAAAUUGAGAAAGUCUUCAGUCAAAGUCUUCAAACACAGAUAUGAACAAUCACUCAACACAGUAAUGAGGAAAUGAAAGAGUUGAGGAAAUAGAACCAGUAAGGUUGGUGAAGACAAUGAUUUUUUAGACCAGUUCCAACUGCUGUCUCAGUUGUACGUCUGGUUGGAGCGGGUGAGUAUUUAAACUCGAGGACACACAGUCCCGGACACCCAGUCGCUGAGCACGCAGCUCAGGACACCAAGUCCUCACUGUAUUCUCCUUGAACUAAGGUCACACAGACCUCUUCCAAUCACUCGUGGUAAGUCUUUAGGCGAGUUCCAAACCUUCACAGACUCGGUCACUCGAUGAUCCACAAUUCCUCUUGGAUGCUCUAGACCAUGACGCCUAACUGUCUGGAAGAAGCACAAUCUUCAAAGGUAACAAGAGUCGGAUCCACGCAGGAUCAAUCUCUUCAGUGAUGCUCAAUCACUUUGGGUUUGUAGGUGUUUGGGUUUGGGGUUUUUCCUCACUCGAUGAUUUUCGCUCAAAGUCCUCGGGGGAUGGGUUGCUCUCAAAUGACAAGUGUCAGUUUCUCUCGGAGCAGCCAACCAACUAGUGGUUGUAGGGGGCGGCUAUUUAUAGCCUAGGGAGCAGCCCGACAUGAUAAGACAUAAAUGCCCUUGUCUGAUAUGACCGUUAGGUGGAUAAGAUAUUUUGGGACAUCUGGCGCGUAGCGCAACAACGGUCGGAAAUUUGACUAUCAAAUUCCUCAGGGCUAUCAUGAUCCUCACUGUGUAGGCAAUUUGCACUGGCGAAUUCCUAACUCCUCAGUCAGAACAAAUUCCUCAGCGACCAGAAGAACUUCGUCUCUGUCACUGAAGAAAUUGACUGAACUGUAUGAGAUUUCCAAAGGCUUCACUCGAAGGGUUUGGUAGGUGUAGGAUUUUGAGUUGAGCAUCACUUGGAAAUUUUUCCUUAGUAUUUCCUUGAACUCCUUUAACAGUACGGUGUUUCCUAUGACUCAAGAAAGAGAAAAACAAAACUAUGAAAACGAAAGUCUUCAAGCUUCAUAUUCCUUGCCUGAAUAUCAAGUCUUCACGGUAACACCAAUUUCUUCACUUUCAAAGUCUUCAUGAAAGUCUUCAGAAAAUACCAAAAUCUUCAGUCGAAGAUAUUCAUUUUUAGGGGUCGACUUUCCCUGUAAAUAUCAAACUCCUCAUAGACUUAUAGACCUGUGUACACUCAGAAACGCAUUAGUCCUUUAACCUAUAAGUCUUCAAUACACCAAAAUCACUAAGGGGCACUAGAUGCACUUACACAAACCACGACGAGCCAUUAAGUCGCAAGUACUGGCUGACUUUGUCGUCGAAUGGACAGAGGCCGAACUCCCUAAAGAGUAUGGCGCCUACUCCAAUUGGAUCAUGCACUUCGACAACUCCAAAAUCCUGGCCGGACUGGGAACGGGUGUUGUCCUGACAUCCCCCACCGGAGACACGGUCUAAUACAUACUCCAAAUAUUAUACACAGACUCCAACAAUGCAGCCGAAUAUGAGGCUCUGUUGCAUGGUCUUCGGAUGGCAGUCUCUAUGGGCAUUCAAUUCCUAGAAGUGCGCGGGGACUCAAACCUUGCAAUAUCACAAAUAAAUGGAGACUUCGAUGCCAAGGAUCUGAAAAUGGCGGCCUACCGCAAUGCCGUCCUCAAAAUGUCAGCCCGGUUCAAGGGGCUCAAAUUCCACCAUGUGGUCCGAGAAAACAAUCAAGCGGCGGAUAUCCUUGCCCGCAUCGGCGCUAAACGCGACCCCGUCCCACCUAAUAUUUUCUUGGAAAGGCUGUUCAAGCCAUCCGUGGUAUGGGAAGGGGAUACUGGCAAUACAAGUCCGGCUCCAAACACAACCCCAGAUUCCGAACCAUCUGACGUAAUCGGAGGCUCUGCCACCGAAAUAACACCUUCGGCCCACGAAAUCAUGGUUGUCAUCGCCCUGUGGACCGAGCCCUUCUUGACCUACCUAAAUAGGCAAGAGCUCCCCGAAGACCAAAAUGAGGCACGUUGUAUUGUGCGGUGUUCCAAGGCCUACAAAGUCCAUGAGGGCGAGCUCUAUAAGAAAAGCGCCACCGGAGUGCUCCAAAGAUGCAUCUCCGAAGAGGAAGGGCGACAGCUCUUGGCUAAAAUCCAUGCCGGACUCGGCGGGCACCACGCUGCAGCUCGGGCACUUGUAAGUAAGGCCUUCCGUAUGGGUUUUUACUGGCGACAGCCCGGGUAGAUGCACAUGACCUUGUCCAAGAUUGCGUCGGUUGCCAACUCUUCGCCAAUCAGAGCCAUAUGCCCCCUACCACUCUCCAAACAAUCCCCAAAACUUGGCCCUUCGUGGUCUGGGGCCUGGAUAUGGUCGGACCUCUUAAAGGGGGAAGCCAUAAGAAAAAACACUUACUGGUCAUGGUGGACAAGUUAACCAAAUGGAUAGAAGCCAAACCAGUUAAAACGGUUGAAUCCGGACCAGUGAUAGACUUCAUAUCAGGGGUUGUACACCAUUACGACGUCCCCCGCAGCAUCAUCACUGACAAUGGCUCAAACUUCACAGCCGAUGAGGUGAAAACUUGGUGCGGCAACAUGGGCAUUAAGCUCGAUUACGCCUCCGUCUAUCAUCCCCAAACAAAUGGUCAAGUCGAACGUGCAAAUGGUCUCAUCAUGAGCGGCAUCAAACCCAGACUAGUGCGAUCUUUGAAUGAAUCAGACAUGCACUGGGUCGAGGAGCUCGACUCCAUACUCUGGGGGCUGCGGACCACGCCGAAUCGUACCACCGGAUAUACACCAUUCUUUAUGGUGUAUGGAGCAGAAGCAGUACUACCCUAUGACAUAAUCCAUGACUCACCUCGCGUGCGCAUGUACGAAGAGAAGGAAGCCGAGCUAGAUCGGCAGGACAACUUAGAUGCCCUAGAGGAGGAGCGUGACGUCGCAAAAGCCCGUUCCACAUUCUAUCAGCAGCAGGCUCGAAGGUAUCAAAGCAGAGAAGUGCGGGCCAAAACUUAUAACGUUGGCGAACUCGUUCUACGCCCACCGGAGAAGAAGAAGGACAAGCUCAAACCCAAGUGGGAGGGUGAUACGUCUCCAACGUAUCUAUAAUUUUUGAUUGUUCCAUGCUAUUAUAUUAGCUGUUUUGGAUGUUUAUGGGCUUUAUUUUACACAUUAUUAUCAUUUUUGGGGCUAACAUACUAACCGGAGGCCCAACCCGUAUUGCUGUUUUUUUGCCUAUUUCAGUAUUUCGAAGAAAAGGAAUAUCAAACGGAGUCCAAACGGAAUGAAACCUUCGGGAGCGUGAUUUUUGGAACAAACGUGAUCCAGAGGACUUGGAGUGCAAGUCAAGAAGCAGACGAGGCGGCCAUGAGAGGGUAGGGCGCGCCCCCCUAUAGGGCGCGCCCCCUGUCUCGUGGGCCCCUCGGGCGGCCACCGACGUACUUCUUCCUCCUAUAUAAGCCUACGUACCCCGAAAACAUCCAGGGAGCACCUGAAACACAAUUUCCACCGCCAUAACCUUCUGUAUCCGCGAGAUCUCAUCUCGGAGCCUUCGCCGGCGCUCCGCCGGAGGGGGAAUCGACCACGGAGUAGUUUACCAUAGACCUUCGGGUCCAUAGUUAUUAGCUAGAUGUCUUCUUCUCUCUUUUUGGAUCUCAAUACAAUGUUCUCCCCCUCUCUUGAGGAGAUCUAUUCGAUGUAAACUCUUUUUGUGGUGUGUUUGUCAAGAUCCGAUGAAUUGUGGGUUUAUGAUCAAGUUUAUCUAUGAGAAAUAUUUGAAUCUCCUCUAAAUUCUUUUAUGUAUGAUUGAGUUAUCUUUGCAAGUCUCUUCGAAUUAUCGGUUUGGUUUGGCCUACUAGAUUGAUCUUUCUUGCCAUGGGAGAAGUGCUUAGCUUUGGGUUCAAUCUGGUAGCGUCCUUACCCAGUGAAAGAAAGGGUUGCAAGGCACGUAUUGUAUUAUUGCCAUCGAGGAUAAAAAGAUGGGGUUUAUAUCAUAUUGCAUGAGUUUAUCCCUCUACAUCAUGUCAUCUUGCUUAAUGCGUUACUCUGUUCUUAAUGAACUUAAUACUCUAGAUGCAGGCAGGAGUCAGUCGGUGUGUGGAGUAAUAGUAGUAGAUGCAGGGAGGAGUCGGUCUACUGUUGCGGACGUGAUGCCUAUAUGCAUGAUCAUGCCUAGAUAAUCUCAUAACUAUUCGCUUUUCUAUCAAUUGCUCGACAGUAAUUUGUGCACCCAUCGUAAUACUUAUGCUAUCUUGAGAGAAGCCUCUAGUGAAACCUAUGGCCCCCGGGUCUAUCUCUUAUCAUAUUUGCUUCCAAUCUACUUUUAUUUGCAUCUUUACUUUUUGCAUCUAUAUUAUAAAAUACCAAAAAUAUAUUUAUCUUAUCAUACUAUCUCUAUUAGAUCUCACUUUCGCAAGUGGCCGUGAAGGGAUUGACAACCCCUUUAUUGCGUUGGUUGUGAGUUCUUUGUUUGUUUGUGUAGGUGCGUGGGACUUUUGAGGUGCCUCCUACUGAAUUUAUACAUUGGUUCUCAAAAACUAAGGGAAAUACUUACACUACUAUUGCUGCAUCACCCUUUCCUCUUCAAGGAAAACCAACACAAGCUCAAGAUGUAGCAAGAAGGAUUUCUAGCACCGUUGCCGGGGAGGUCUUCGCUCAAGUCAAGACAUACCAAGUACCCAUCACAAACUCAUCUCCCUCGCAUUUACAUUAUUUGCCAUUUGCCUCUCGUUUUCCUCUCCCCCACUUCACCCUUGACGUUUUAUUCGCCCUCUCUUUCCCAAUCUCCCCCUCUCUUUUCGUUUGCCUUUUUCCGUUUGCUUGUGUGUUGGUAUGUUUACCUCGUUGUUAUGUCUAGUCCUCCUAUCCUUAUUAUUACUCCCGAACAUGAAAUUCUCAAUUUUAAACAAAGGAAGGAGAGAAUUUAAAAGAUGCUUGGCAUAGAAUUUGCAAUGCUGAAAAUAAAUCUACUAGGAAGCUUUCUACUUCCGUACUUCUACGCAAUUUUUAUGUAGGCAUUACUCCUUGGAAUAGAUGUGUUCUUGAUACCGUUACCGGAGGGGAUUUCUUGAGUAGCCAUACGUUUGAUGCUUAUAAUGCUUUGUCAGAUUUGUCUGGCCCACCACGUCUUUUGGUUAAUGGAACUGUUUUAACUUUAGAACAUGUUAUGCAACGGCUUGAGAUUAUUGAAAAUAAAAGAGUGAAUUCCAUUUUUUACCUUGUAGUUGUACAUUUGUGACACAUAUUACCCUAUUUAGCGGAACUUUUAUCGAAAUGUCAGAUUUUGGAGACUUUUAACACGGUUUUACCCCAGUUUUACAUUUUGUCUAUUUAUGGUCGAUAGGAUCGGCAUGUUGCGUCAUUGAUUUGUAAAAAAAACUGUAAGGAUCGGAGGGCAUCAUUGGCGAUCUUGUCCAAGCUUCUCUUAUCUAUCUGUUCCACUCCUUGUGGCCGUCCACAUGUUUUUGGAUACAGGGCAUCACCUCACACCUUACCUGAUGGACACGCAUCAAAAAACAAGGGUCUAAAGAUUUCAAAAGGGGUAUUCUAGACGAAUUUUCACUCGAAGGGGUAAUUAGUGUCACAAAUGUAUAAAUAUGGGGUAAAAAGUGGAAUUCACUCAAAAUAAAAUUGCCAUUGUUGAGUUGAUUGAAAAUUUGGAUAAAAAGAUUUAUAAUCACAUUACCCAAUAUGGAUCUAGGGUUGGAGUUACUUUGAAAAAUCUUAAAGAGAAAGAACCUAUAGUUUAAUGAGAAAAUAGAUCUAGAUUCUCCAAGAAUCGGUAAACUUGAGGAUAUUAUUACCAACUUAGGUUCCGUGUUUUAUUCCAUGAAAAACACUCCAAAAGCCCCUACCAAAACUGCCAAGCUUAUUUAUGUUCAUAGAAACAAGGGUGAAUCUUCUAGUAAGGGAGACGCGGAUCUCAAAUCCAAAGUGUUCAUCCCAAUUGUCUCUCUAUCGUUAAGGAACCUUUUGCUACAAAUGAAUUUCUUGAAUUUUUGCCUAAAGGUUUGAUCAUUGCUAAAAAGGGAGAAACCCCUAAAAAAUUUAAGUGCUCUAUUGAUGAAUCAAGUGCCAAAUAUGGCACUACUUAGAUCUAUCUUCGCUUUUAUGCCUAGCUAGGGGCGUUAAACGAUAGCGCUAGUUGGGAGGCAACCCAAUUUUCUUUGUGUUUUUGUUUCUGUUUCUGUUUAGUAAUAAAUUUUGCAUGUACUUUCUGUUUAGAUGUGUUUUUAUCUUUUAAUUAGUGUUUGUGCCAAGUAGAACCUAUAGGAUAACCUAUGAUGAUAGUUGAUUUGAUUCUGCUGAAAAACAGAAACUUUGCGCUCACGAGAAAAAAUUCAAGUGCUCGACAGUAAUUUCACUUGUUGCGGAGUCGGUCUACUUGUUGCGGACGUGAUGCCUAUAUACAUGAUCAUGCCUAGAUAAUCUCAUAACUAUUCACUUUUCUAUCAAUUGCUCGACAGUAAUUUGUUCACCCACCGUAAUACUUAUGCUAUCUUGAGAGAAGCCUCUAGUGAAACCUAUGGCCCCCGGUUCUAUCUCUUAUCAUAUUUGCUUCCAUUCUACUUUUAUUUGCAUCUUUACUUUUUGCAUCUAUAUUAUAAAAUACCAAAAAUAUAUUUAUCUUAUCAUACUAUCUCUAUUAUAUCUCACUUUCGUAAGUGGCCGUGAAGGGAUUGACAACCCCUUUUAUUGCGUUGGUUGCGAGUUCUUUGUUUGUUUGUGUAGGUGCGUGGGACUUUUGAGGAGACUCCUACUGGAUUGGUACCUUGGUUCUCAAAAACUAAGGGAAAUACUUACACUACUAUUGCUGCAUCACCCUUUCCUCUUCAAGGAAAACCAACGCAAGCUCAAGACGUAGUAGAGGGUCCCUUCAUCAUUGAUAAAGUUCUCGCCGGAGGAGCGUACCGUCUGCGCAAUACAUCUGAUAACAGACUCGAGCGGAACCCGUGGAAUGCGUCCAGACUCCGAAGAUUCUACGCCUAGUGCCGAACUCAGUGUUCGUCUCCUUACCUCCGCUCUUUCAAUUAUGUUCUCCUUUUUCCUUUCUCGCCCUCUUUACCUUCUUCACAUAAAGCCUUAAAUACCGUGCGGAUGCUGGGAUCGCUCCGGCCGCACUAUGUGUGCUCACUAUACCUGGGGGAUUCCUAUACGGAAGCUGAAUAUAAUUACUUUUAUGGCUUCCUGCCUACCACAUAUGUGUCUUUUUUCCAUUUGUGCCUUUUCUUCACCAUUAUAUGCAUCGAUAUGACUUAAGAUUUGGCCAUGCUGGGUUGCCUGGUUCUUGUGUUUAUGCCCUACAUUCCUGUUAAUUAGGCUAGGGCAUAAGGGGAGCACCUCUGCGAUUGUUACUGCCAGUUCAGCCGGACGUGUAUACUACGUCUUGAGCUUGCGUUGGUUUUCCUUGAAGAGGAAAGGGUGAUGCAGCACAGUAGCGUAAGUAUUUCCCUCAGUUUUUGAGAACCAAGGUAUCAAUCCAGUAGGAGGCUCCUCGCAAGUCCCACGAACCUACACAAACAAACAAAGAACUCGCAACCAACGCGGUAAAGGGGUUGCCAAUCCCUUCACGACCACUUGUGAAAGUGAGAUCUGAUAGAGAUAAUAUGAUAAGAUAAAUAUAUUUUUGGUAUUUUAUAAUAUAGAUGCAGAAAAUAAAGAUACAAAUAAAAGUAGAUUGAAAGCUUAUAUGAUAAAGGAUAGACCCGGGGGCCAUAGGUUUCAUUAGAGGCUUCUCUCAAGAUAUCAUAUGUAUUACAGUGGGUGAACAAAUUACUGUCGAGCAAUUGAUAGAAAAGCGAAUAAUUAUGAGAUUAUCUAGGCAUGAUCAUGUAUAUUGGCAUCAUGUCCGUGACAAGUAGACCGACUCCUGCCUGCAUCUACUACUAUUACUCCACACAUCAACCGACUCCUGCCUGCAUCUAGAGUAUUAAGUUCAUAAGAACAGAGUAACACAUUAAGAAAGAUGAUGUGAUGUAGAGGGAUAAACUCAAGCAAUAUGAUAUAAACCCCAUCUUUUUAUCCUCAAUGGCAACAAUACAAUACGUGCCUUGCAACCCUUUCUGUCACUGGGUAAGGACACCGCAAGAUUGAACCCAAGGCUAAGCACUUCUCCCAUGGCAAGAAAGAUCAAUCUAGUAGGCCAAACCAAACCGAUAAUUCGAAGAGACUUGCAAAGAUAACUCAAUCAUACAUAAAAGAAUUCAGAGAAGAUUCAAAUAUUAUUCAUAGAUAAACUUGAUCAUAAACCCACAAUUCAUCGGAUCUCGACAAACACACUGCAAAAAGAGUUUACAUCGAAUAGAUCUCCACAAGAGAGGGGGAGAUCAUUGUAUUGAGAUCCAAAAAGAGAGAAGAAGCCAUCUAGCUAAUAACUAUGGACCCAAAGGUCUGUGGUAAACUACUCACAACUCAUCGGAGGGGCUAUGGUGUUGAUGUAGAAGCCCUCCAUGGUGGAUUCUCCCUCCGACAGAACGCCCGCGACGGCUCCAAGAUGGGAUCUCUCGGAUACAGAAGGUUACGGUAGUGGAAAUAUAUCUUCGGUGGCUCCCUGGAUGUUUUCGGGGUAUGUAGGCUUAUAUAGGAGGAAGAAGUACAUCGGUGGCUGCCCGAGGGGUCCACGAGACAGGGGGGCACGCCCUAUAGGGGUGGGCGCGCCCCCCACCCUCGUGGCUGCCUCGGCUGCUUCUUGACUUGCACUCCAAGUCCUCUGGAUCACGUUCGUUCCAAAAAUCACGCUCCUGAAGGUUUCAUUCCGUUUGGACUACGUUUUAUAUUCCUUUUCUUCGAAAUACUAAAAUAGGCAAAAAAAACAGCAAUACGGUCUGGGCCUCCGGUUAGUAGGUUAGUCCCAAAAAUGAUAUAAUUGUGUAAAAUAAAGCCCAUAAACAUCCAAAACAGGUAAUAUAAUAGCAUGGAACAAUCAAAAAGUAUAGAUACGUUGGAGACGUAUCAAGCAUCCCCAAGCUUAAUUCCUGCUCGUCCUCGAGUAGGUAAAUGAUAAAAACAGAAUUUUUGAUGUGGAAUGCUACCUAGCAUAAUUCUCAGUGUAAUUUUCUUUAUUGUGGCAUGAAUGUUCAGAUCCAAAUGAUUCAAGACAAAAGCUUAUAAAACAUAAAAAUAAUAAUGCUUCAAAGCAUAAUAACAAAUAAUCAAGUCCUAUCAAAAUUGCAUAGCCAAAGAAAGCUUAUCCCUACAAAAUCAUAUAGUUAGGCCAUGCUUCAUUUUCAUUACAGAAAAUACUCCCAUCAUGCACAACCCCGAUGACGAGCCGAGUAAUUGUUCCAUACUUUUUAAUGCGCUUCAGCUUUUUUUCAACUUUUAUGCAAUACAUGAGCGCAAGCCAUGGACAUAGCACUAUGGUGGUAUAUGGUGGUGGUUGUAAGGACAAAAAGGGAGAAGAUAGUCUCACAUCAACUAGGCGUAUUAAUGGGCUAUGGAGAUGCCCGUAAAUAGAUAUCAAUGUGAGUGAGUAGAGAUUGCCAUGCAACAGAUGCAGUAGAGCUAUAAAUGUAUGAAAUCUCAACAAAAGAAACUAAGUGGGUGUGCAUCCAACUUUCUUGCUCACGAAGACCUAGGGCAUUUUUUUUAUUUGGUGGGUUUCUUUGGCCUCUCUUUUUUAUGGGCUUCUUGGCCUCUUUUAUUUUAAUAAAGAUAGAAGUCUCAUCCCGACUUGUGGGGGAAUCAUAGUCUUCAUCAUCCUUCCCUCACCGAGACAAUGCUCUAAGAAUGAAGAUCAUCACACUUUUAUGGAUUUACAACUCAAGAAUUACAACUCAAAGCUAGAACAAAAUAUGACUCUAUAUGAAUGCCUCCGACGGUGUACUGGGAUAUGCAAUGAAUCAAGAGCGACAUGUAUGAAAAUUAUGAAGGUGGCCUUGCCACAAAUACGAUGUCAACUACAUGAUCAUGCAAAGAGCAAUAUGACAAUGAUGAAACGUGUCAUAAUAAACGGAACGGUGGAAAGUUGCAUGGAAAUAUAUCUCGGAAUGGCAAUGGAAAUGCCAUAAUAGGUAGGUAUGGUGGCUGUUUUGAGGAAGGUAAAUAAUGGGUUUAUGAUACCGGCGAAAGUUGCGCGGGAUAAUAGAGGCUAGCAAAGUGGAAGGAUGAGUGUGCGUAUAUCCAUGGACUCACAUUAGUCAUAAAGAACUCAUAUACUUAUUGCAAAAGUCUACUUAGCCCUCGAAGCAAAGUACUACUAUGCAUGCCCCUAGAGGGAUAUAUUGGUAGGAAAAGACCAUCGCUUGUCCCCGACUGCCACUCAUAAGGAAGACAAUCAAAAGAGCACCUCAUGCAACAAAUUUGUCACACAACUUUUACGAUACGUGCAUGCUACGGGACUUGCCAACUUCAACAAAAGUAUUUCUCAAUUUAAUAAUUAUCCACUAGCAUGACCCUAACAUUACUACCUUUAUAUCUCAAAACAAUUAUCAAGCAACAAAUUGAUCAUAGAAUCCAAUUCACUUCCUAUGAUAGUUUUUAUUAUACCCAACUUGGAUGCUCAUCAUUCUAGGACCAAAUUUUUAACCGUAGCAAAUACCAUGCUGUUCUAAAAGACUCUCAAAAUAAUAUAAGUGAAGCAUGAGAGACUAGCAAUUUCUUAAAAAUUAAUCCACCACCAUUCUCUAAAAGAUAUAAGUGAAGCACUAGAGCAAAAACUAUCAAGCUCAAAAGAUUAAUAAUAUAAGUGAAGCAUGAGAGACUAGCAAUUUCUUCAAAAUUAAUCCACCACCAUUCUCUAAAAGAUAUAAGUGAAGCACUAGAGCAAAAACUAUCAAGCUCAAAAGAUAUAAGUGAAGCACAUAGAGUAUUCUAGCUAAUUCUAAUCAAGUGGGCUUCUCCCAAAAGGUGUGUACAUCAAGUAUUAUUGUGGUAAACUAAAAAGCAAAGACUAAUAUAAUACACGACGCUCCAAGCAAAAAACAUAUCAUGUGGCGAAUAAAAAUAUAGCUCCAAGUAAAGUUACCAAUGAACGAAGACGAAGGAGGGGAUGCCUUCCGGGGGCAUCCCCAAGCUUAGGCUUUUGGCUAUUCUUGAAUAUAUUGAGGUCCCAUAAGCAUCCCCAAGCUUAGGCUCUUGCCACUCCUUAUUCCAUAGUCCAUAAAAUCUUUACCCAAAACUUGAAAACUUCACAACACAAAACUCAACAGGAAAUCUCAUAAGCUCCGUUAGUGAAAGAAAACAAAACCACCACAUAAGGUACUGUAAUGAACUCAUUAUUUAUUUAUUUUGGUGUUAAACCUACUGUAUUCCAAGUUCUCUAUGGUUCAUACCCUUACAUACUAGCCAUAGAUGCAUCAAAAUAAGCAAACAACACACGAAAAACAGAAUCUGUCAAAACCAGAACAGUUUGUAGCAAUCUGUAUCUAACACCAUCUUCUGGAACCUUAAAAAUCCUACCAAAAUAGGACCUCCUAAAAAAUUUGUAUAUUGAUCAGCACCAAAAAGAAUCAAUGCAAAAGCACGUUCUGGUGAUUUAUUGAAUUUUUUAUCGUGAGCGCAAAGUUUCUGUUUUUUCAGCAGAAUCAAAUCAACUAUCAUCAUAGGUUAUCCUAUAGGUUCUACUUGGCACAAACACUAAAUAAAACAUGAAAACACAUCUAAACAGAAAGUAGAUGCAAAAUUUAUUACUAAACAGAAACAAAAACAAAAAACAC